UGACUUUAUUUCCUUGUAGAACAUCAAUGACUUCUUGAGGGUUGAACAAUCUACUCCGUUUUCCAGGGUCUUGAGAUUCCAUGCGAACGAUUUCUCUUCCCAUUUCCUGCACUAGAUCAUGCAUCACCAAACUAUGCCGAUCCCUUUGGAGCAAGUUCCUUUGGACUAAGGUUGAAAUUGCACUUUCAGAAUAAAAACCACACGCAUUUAAUGUUUUGGUAACUUCAUCCUCAUACCAACCAUGGAAGGCACAUGCGAUAUCAAGGAAAACACUCUGAGUAUUGACAUCAAGUCCAUCAAAGCUUAUCUUGAGAAUCUUUUGAAUACCACCAUGAGGAAUUGCUUUUAGUUUUUUGAACUCGUAUCUCCAUUCUUUAACGGAUCUCCCUUGCAGAUGCGACCCCAAUGUCACAAGAGCUAAUGGUAGCCCGCAUGAAUAUUUUAUUAUGUCUUGUGCCAGAUCAACAUAUUCUUGUGGUGGAGAAAAACAGUUAAAAGCAUGACAAGAAAAAAGUUGUUGUGCUUCAUUGUCAUUUAAAAGUUUGGCCUGGUAUAGCUCACUUGUUGUAAGCCCAUAUAGCAAAUGCCCAUCUCGGGUUGUAAUAAUUACUACACUACCAAAGCCAAACCAACUUCUUUCUCUUGUUAAGGAUUCUAAUUGGCCUCUAUGAUCCACGUCAUCAAGAACAAUUAGAACCUUCUGAGACCCAAGUCUUGCUUUGAUGAGAUUAACACCUUCAGCAACACUAUCAACUUCAAAUUCCUUAGUUUUGAGGAUUUGAUUAAGUAGUUUCUCUUGAAGCUUGACUAGACCCGAUUCAUCGGUUUUUGAUCUAAUGUCAGAAAGGAAGCAACUACCAUCAAACUGUUGAAAUAUUUGAUUAUAGAUAGCUUUUGCCAAAGUUGUUUUUCCAAUUCCACCAACUCCACAUAUACCAACCAUGCGAACUUCAUGCUCACAUCCACUUUGCAGUAACACCUCUAUAUGUUUGAUAGGAGAAUCUAAUCCAAUUGGGUAAUGAGCAACAUCUAGAGGUGUCUGGUUAACCUCUUGCAGAACUUGUUUUAUAAUACUCUCAAUAAACUUUGAUUCAUGCCUACAGUUUUUGGAACAAUAAAUACUUGAGUAUUUUAAAAUAUUUGAUGAACAAAAUAAAAAUCAAUAGCCAAAAGAUAACAGAGUUUAUAGAAUGGAGAAUAUAUUCCUUGUCCCUAUCUAUAUAAAACAGUUUGAUUUGACAUAGAAUUUAAAAACUAUAGAAAUAUUUUGAAAUUUUCCAUAAUUAACCAACUUAUAAGAUUAGGCAAACGCUUAAAUUCAAAAUCUUAUAGUUGAAUUAAGAAGUCUUACCCAUCAGCAAUAUUUCUCAAAUUCCAUCCAGAUAAAUUUGCUGCUUCAGUAAGUGCAGCUUUCCACUUUUCCAUUCUUUCAGCUCCAACCAAUCGUUCCUUGUGUUUUCCAAAGCUUCGUCAAAGGAUCCAGUUUGCCUUCGCACUUGAGAAGGAUCAACAUCAUAGAAAAUAGGCAAAACUACCUGAUUUUAACCUCUCUUUGCAAUCGAGAAUUUUGACAAGUUCAUCAAGACACCAACUAGACGAAGCAUAAUUUUUGGAGAAAACAACAAUGGCAAUUCUAGAUUGUUCAAUUGCUUUGUCAAGUUUGUUUGAAAUGACGUCUCCCUUUCUCAAUUCCUCAUCAUCUAUGAAAGUAUUAACUCCGACUUGACACAAUCGAAAAUAAAAAUGACCUGUGAAGUUUUUGCGAGUAUCUUCACCUCUAAAACUCAGAAACACAUCAUAAGAGAAGUUGGAAGAAGAAGAUGAUUCUCCUUGAGUAUUCAUAUUUGAUGACAAUAUAUGGAAUAAUUAGGCGAUUUUUAGUUGAAUGAAAGAAAGAUGAGUGAAGCAGCUACAGGUAAUAAUUUGUUCCUGGAAACCCAAUUUUGGGUCAACUCAUUUACAAUCCCUAAAAAAGUUAAUCCCUAGAUAGUUCACGUGUCUAUAUUUUAAAAGUAGAUAUAUUGACAUAAAUUUAGAUGGUAAAAAGUACUCCUUUUCUCUUUAAUUAUUUCUUCAUUUUUAAUUUGAUAGACCUAUUAAGAAAACUGUAACUUGCAUCUAGUUAAAAAGAAUGUUGAAAUAUUGAGUUUUAUGAAUUUGAUUUUAUUUUACUUUCUACAAAAGUUGUGUGAUCAUUUGGUAAUGGCCAUUACUAUUGCUCAAAGUUUUUAAACAUGAAAUAUAACUAAUACGAUAAUAAUUUUAAUAUAGCUUACUAAAAUAUUCAAGAUAAUAAAUGGAGAUGAUUAAAGUUUUUGGUCAAAAUCAUCCUCAAACUAUAGUCUAGAUUUUGGAUACAUCCUUGCAUUAUUAUACUGAACGAAAAACAUCAUUCAUCUAUCUAAAAAGUUUCAAUAGUCAUCCUUCUGUUAAUUUUUGUCAAAAACUACCGUCAAAACAUGUGUCAAGCAUGUGGCUUUUCCUCUAAAUCUCCUAAUUUUAAUCGUCUUCUGCACUAUAUUUUGAGCUAUUGUACACUCCCUCCGAUCAUGUCUCCUCGAGAAGUACUUGUUAAAUUAUUCUAUUGUAUCUUAUAUUAACUUUAAUCAAGUAAAUUAUUACAAAGUAAGAUAUCAACUUAGAACAUGUUUUAACUGUAACUGUUAGAGGUCGUUUGGUAGAGUGUAUUAGGAAAAAUAACGCAUGCAUUAGCAUUGUGUAUUACUAGUACCUUGUUUGGUACUCUUUUCCAACCUAUGUAUAACUAAUGCUUGCAUUAGUUAUACACUCUGAUCUAUUGUGUAUUAAGGUGUGUAUUGCUAAUACCAUGGAUUUCUAGGUAUUAGCAAUGCAAUGGUUUUAAUGCAUGCAUUAGAUUAACUAAUGACAAAACUACCCUCUAAGCCUAAUAAUAAUAAUAAUAAUAAUUAUAAUAAUAAUAAUAAUUAUAAUAAUAAUAAUAAUUAUAAUAAUAAUAAUAAUUAUAAUAAUAAUAAUAAUUAUAAUAAUAAUAAUAAUUAUAAUAAUAAUAAUAAUUAUAAUAAUAAUAAUAAUUAUAAUAAUAAUAAUAAUUAUAAUAAUAAUAAUAAUUAUAAUAAUAAUAAUAAUUAUAAUAAUAAUAAUAAUUAUAAUAAUAAUAAUAAUUAUAAUAAUAAUAAUAAUUAUAAUAAUAAUAAUAAUUAUAAUAAUAAUAAUAAUUAUAAUAAUAAUAAUAAUUAUAAUAAUAAUAAUAAUUAUAAUAAUAAUAAUAAUUAUAAUAAUAAUAAUAAUUAUAAUAAUAAUAAUAAUUAUAAUAAUAAUAAUAAUUAUAAUAAUAAUAAUAAUUAUAAUAAUAAUAAUAAUUAUAAUAAUAAUAAUAAUUAUAAUAAUAAUAAUAAUUAUAAUAAUAAUAAUAAUUAUAAUAAUAAUAAUAAUUAUAAUAAUAAUAAUAAUUAUAAGUUGAAGAUAAACUAACAGAAGGAUGAGUAUGCAAUUUUUGGGUAAGAUAGAGGGAUGUUUCUUAUCCAUGAUUAUAUUAGAAUGAUGUACUUUAGAUUUGUGCCAUAGUUGAGAGAUGAUUUCAGUUAAAAAUUUAAAAUACUUUAAUUAAAAUUAAUACGAUUUCUUACCUACUUCCUAAUUGGGAACUUUGUAUUUAUGAUAAAGAAGUAUAAAAAAAUUAUCCCGAACCCAACCAAUAAAUGUUUUUUUAUAAAAUUUAGAACCUAUAGUUUUUUAAUCUUCCAGGGUCCCAUUUUUCUAUGGAUUGAAUCAUCAUAAUAUUUUAUGACAAAAUACUGUAAAAUGGUGUAUGAUUGUAUGGCAUAUAUACCAUUUGUAUAUUCCCCAAAAUCAAUGAUAACCAUUUGUCUCUAACUUUAAUUUUGAAUUGUACUAAUUGAAUAUAUUAAUUGUACAAUACACAUUUAUUUAGUUCAAAGAUUUCCUCUUUGUACUUUAAGCUUCGGAAUGUAUUGUUUUCCUCAUUUUAUGAAGUGUUAUUAGAAAAAAAAAAAAAAAAAGCAUAAUACAUAAACAUGUGAUAUUUAAAUUUGGUCUUAGUUAAAUUAUCCAAUUUAUAAAAUGAUCAUUUAGACUCUUCCAAAAAUUAUUUGUUACGUUAAUGUAGGAUGUCCAUGAGAUACAUUGAGGCCAAGUUGGAGUGUUUAGUUGUUAGUUGAUAGCAAGUUAAAAUAUCUAGACUUGCACUUUCAAAGUUAGAGACUGAUUUUAUGUUGUUUUUUAUUUGUGUGUCUAAUUAUGAUGUUUUAUUCAUAUGGUUUUGAUUUGUGAAUGAAUUUUGAUUUUGCUCAUGUUAUUGUUGAUGGAUUCAUUUUCAGUCACUACUUAAUUAGUUACUAGAUGUGGAUUAAGAUUUUGAGUUUGUAAAUUCUAGAUCACAAUCGAUCUUUUUUGAAGUUUGUUGGAAUGUCAUAACAUAAAUACAUGAUUUGAAUCAAAGUUAUUGAGUUUGAUCAAACCCGUAGAUCCUAUACACGGUGGAUGAGAGAAUUAGAAAUAAUUGGACAAAAUUCAUUUAGGAGUCAUUUGCAAAUGAGAUUGUAUUUGGAUGAGAAUUUUGAAUAUAUUACAUGUUGAUAGUAGUGUCUGAGGUGUUAUAUACAAAUACUUUUAGAACAAACUUUUUUCUUACAUAACGAACACAAAAAGCAAGUAAGAAACUGUAACAUCCGGUAAUUUGAAAUAACUAUGAAGAAGCUUGAAAUUGGAAAUAGUCAUUUUUGGAAAGAAUUCAAAAAUCUGGAAAUUUAGCUAAGUAUGGAAAAAGUGAGUUUUUGGUCAACUUCGAACAGUCAUAACUCCUAGCUCAGGAUGAGUUAGGUGUAUUUCCAGUUAUGUUUGCGAAUCCCUUGGAAUGAUCUUUCCAACGCCGCUGAGUUUGCUCGAUUCCGAGUUCGUAUGAGUGAGUUAUGCCCUUUGGAAGUUGGGCUGUUGGCAUAGGGAAGUUCAUCCGAAUUAGUAAGGGUAUUUUGGUCUUUUCCCUAACCAUUUCUUUUGGUUAUAUUAAGGGUCUAGGAUGAUAAAAAAAUCAGUUUUCCCUUUUAAAAGUGAGAGUUAGGGUUCUUGAGAGAAAAGGAGAGAAGAGGAGAAAGAGAAGAAGAAGCAAAGUUCGUCAAGAUCGUCGUGGUUUUCGUCGGGGGUGAUCCCUAUUAAGGUAUGUGAGAUCAUAGUGUUGGGUUGGUUCAUUCCCCCACACGCCAAACUCGUUUUAAUUUCCGAGAAAAGAUUGGUUGUGUUUGUUGAAGAUUUGGUUAUGUUUGUUGAAGUUUGUGCCUGGUUGUGUUUGUUGAAGUUUCUUGUUGGUUUGGUACAUGUUUCCGGUUGUGUUUUCGAGUUGAAUCUAUUGUAUGUUGAGGGGUUUUAGGAUUCUAAGUGUUUGGGGCUGGAACCUUUGAAGUUAAGGUUGUUUAGAGUUGGAAAAACAAGGGAGAAAAGUCGAGUUUUUUGGGGAAAGGGCUGGCGCGUUGAGCCAGCCAGCACGCCUAAAAAGGGAUUUUGAACUUCCACCCUUGGGGCGGCGCGCCAUGCAGAGCGCCCCACCAGCCCUUCUGAACUUUGAGGGCUGGCGCCCCGCGCCUCUCAGAGCGCCAAGGACGCCAAGUCUUCCCAUUCAUUCCCCACUUUUUCAUACAUGUUCCUUAGCAAUGUACCUAUGUUUUAUAGUUGUUUUCAACACUCCAAGGUACGUCUAAACAUCAAGAACUCAUCCAUAAACAUGAGAUCUUUACCCUUGAAUUCAUAAUCCGAUUCGAGGAAAGUUCGGACCAAAGUCAAGUGAAGUUAGAGUCAAGCUUAGAAGUUAAGAAGUAAGUCGAAGCAAGUCUUUAAAGUUUUUCAAGAGUCUUUAUUGAACGUUUUAACUUCAUUUUAAGACUCAAGUUUCAAGGUGAGUAAAGAGUAUAGAGUUUCAAGUUAAGUAAAGAGUAUAGAGUUUCAAGUUGAGUAAAGAUUAUAGAGUUGAGUUCAUUUCUCAAGAGUUAUUAGGGAACUAAGUAUUCCCAAAGAAGUUUAGAAAUGUUUUCACAUUUGAGUAAGAAAGGAACAAUGAUUUCCAAAAGAGCCUUUGGGCUAGUUUUCAAGAAAAAGAAACAUCGAUUCCAAGUGAGCCUUUGGGCUAGAUUUUGAGCAAUUAUCUCAAACUAAAGAAAGAUGUGUUUAAAACACUUAUGAGCUAAAGUAUAUUUUGGGAGUAGUCUUGAGCACUGAAUUGGGGACACGAGUUCAUAUUAACUCAACUCUCCAUAAGAACCAUGUAGCCAACAUGGGAGUUAACGGGUCAUACUUUUUAGAUGAACCCGUAAAGUUAAGCUAGUGGAUCCACUUAGUAAAGUUAGCUUGUUAACGAGUCAUACUUUUUAAAUAAUCACGUAAGAUUAAGCUAGUGGAUCCACUAAGUUAAGUAAGGUCCUAUAUCACGGCAAGGUAUAGGAUGUUCCUUGGCCAACGUGAGGUAAAACGUUGUAUCAUCACUAGGGCUCAUAGUGGUGGUUGUCGGUUAAAGAAUCUCCUACUAAAGUUAUAUUACUUUUAUAUAAGUAAAGUUGAGUUUGUUAUUGUUUUAUCCUUAACGAACUAAGUGGUUUACACUGUUUUUACAAGCUUUAUAUAUUGCAUGUGUCUUAUUGCUUUAUAUUGAGUUCGGUUGUUCAUGAGUCGAACAGAGCUAAGGUAAGAGUUCCUUUGUAUUCCUUUCAAGCUUAAGUUGUUGUUAGCUUCCCAGCUCGCAUACUCGUACAUUCAAUAUACUGAUGCCAGUUUGACUGCAUCUUAUUAUGAUGCAGACGCAGGUACCCAGGAUCAGCAUCCAGCACGCCGUUGAUCCAGCUGAGCACUCCAGAGUCAGUGGUGAGCCUCUUUACUUUCCGGAGGACUCUAUUAUUUCGUUUUCCUAGUUUUGUUUUAUUAGGAUGUUGCGGGGUCUGUCCCAACAUCCAUCUCAGUGUUAUAGAAGCUGCAUAGACAGUCAGUCAGUUAGUAUUGAGUCUCUCAUCUAUGUAUAUAUGUAAAUAUUCUAUUUUGAGACACGAGUUGCCUUUUGGCCAGAUUUUAUCAGUUAGGUUGUUUUAUGACCUUUCAUUGCAUUGAGUUAUUCUGUCGAGUUAAGUUUCCACUGAGUUAAGAAAGUUGGGCCAAGGGUUUGCUUGGGGCCAGCAAUGGUCUUCAAGUGCCAGCCACGUCCAGGGUGUAGACUUGGGGCGUGACAAUCUCUUUUAAGAAAAAGAUGAGUUUUGCGAAAGAGUUUCUAAAACAUGAUUAGUAUGACAAUCGAGUAUGUUAUCAAUGUUUAAACAGUAUGGUCUCUAGAUAUACCAUCAAUGUUUAUGAAGUAUGACUUCUCGAGUCAUCAAUGAUCAUAUUAAAAUAUGGUUUUGAUAUGUUUCUUUUUUUUUAAAACAGUUUUCAAGAGCAAUUACCUCUUUUAAGAGGGUAGUUUUGAGUAAUUUUCUCAAACUAAAUAAAGAAGUUUGUUUUAAAGCUUAUGAGCUAAAGUAUAUUUUUGGGAGUAGUCUUGAGCACCGAAGUGGGUAUACGAGUUCAUAUUAACUCAACUCUCCAUAAGAACCAUGUGGCCAACAUGAGAUUUAACGGGUCAUACUUUUUAAAUGAUCACGUAAGUUAAGCUAGUGGAUCCACUAAGUUAAAGUUAAAGUAAGGUCCUAUAUCACGGCAAGGUAUAGGAUGGUCCUUGGGCAACGUGAGGUAAAACGUUGUAUCAUCACUAGGGCUCAUAGUGGUGGUGAUCGGUUAGAGAAACUCCCAUAGUAGAAAUGGUUCCUCGAGGGGUUCUGCUUAGUAUGGAUGGGGGUAUGGGACUUCACUCAUACAUUGCACAAGUAGACCUUGAAAGGAAGCAUGGUAUUUUAUGAUAUUAUAANNNNNNNNNNNNNNNNNNNNNNNNNNNNNNNNNNNNNNNNNNNNNNNNNNNNNNNNNNNNNNNNNNNNAUGGGGGUAUGGGACUUCAUUCAUGCAUUGCACAAGUAGACUUUGAGAGGGAGCGUGAUAUUUUUAUGAUAUUAUAAAUGUGAUUUUUGACGUCAUGUUUUAAUAGUUUUACAAGCUUUAUAUAUUGCAUGUGCGUUAUUGCUUUAUAUUGAGUUUGGUUAUUCAUGAGUGUCUGUCCCAACAUCCAUCUCAGUAUGUUAGUGGCUUCAUAGACAGUCAGUCAGUUAGUAUUGAGUCUCUCAUCUAUGCAUAUAUAAAUAUUCUAUUUUGAGACGAGUUGCCUAUUGGCCAGAUUUUAUCAGUUGGGUUGCUUUAUGACCUUUCUUUGCAUUGAGUUAUUCUGUUGAGUUAGGUUUCCGCUGAGUUAAGAAAGUCAGGCCAAGGGUUCACUUGGGGUCAGCAAUGGUCUUCGAAUGUCGGUCCCGCCCAGGGUGUAGGCUCGGGGCGUGACAGAAACCUACUUAUUCUCCGAAAAAGCAUUUUUCAAAAAGACAUUUUAGAGGCAUUGUUAUCAUUUGGUAGAUCCAGGUUCAUGGCCUAUUUCUAUGGAACACAUUCUCCAUAGUACCGAACACAGUCUCAGAACUUUGUUUGUUGAUAUCCACUGUUAUGGACCUCACUUGUGGAAUUUCAUUGGAUGUGUUGUUGAUGUUUGAGUUGAUAUGCCGUGCUGAAAAUCUUUGUGGGUAGGAGGGAGUAUAAGAAUGAUCCACAACUCCCGGCAACGAUGUAAUAAGAAAUUUGUUUGUUAUGUAUAAAAGAAUUAUCCCGAACCUGGCCUUUUUUCAUAAAAUUCAGAACCUAUAAUUUUUUAAUCUUCCCGGGGUCCCCUUUUUCUAUAGAUUGAAUUAUCAUAAUAUUUUAUGACAAAAUAUUGUAAAGGUGUAUGAAAUGGUAUAUUGCUCAAAAUCAUGGUAAUACCAUUUAUUUAUAACUUUAAAAUUUUGAAUUGUACUAAUUGAAUAUAUUAAUUUCACAAUGUACUUUUAUUUAGUUCAAAGUUUUCCUCGUUGUACUUUAAGCUUUGGAGUGUAAUGUUUUUCCGCAUUUUAUGAGGUGCUAAGAUUAGAAAAAGGCAUAAUACAUGAAUAGACGAUAUUCAAAUUUGGUCUUAAUUAAAUUCUCCAAUUUAUAAAUUGAUCACUUAGACUCUUCCAAUAAUUAUUUAUUACAUCAAUGUAGGGUGUUCACGAAAUACGAGAUACAGUGAAGCCAAAUUAAAAUAUUUAGAUGUACACUUCCACAAGAAGGUUAACCAAAAUGAAAGGGAAGUUUCCCAACAUAUUUUUUCUUAGAUAUGUCUCAUUCACUUUUACCUUUACUUUUACUUUUACGGUUACUCUUUUUUUUGUGUGUUAUAUUUGAAUUUGACAUACCACUAAAAAUAUUAUUGGGACUUCUUUUAUAUUUGUCCUUUCUUAUUGAGUAUGCUAAAGUAUACACUUAAAUUUGUAUAAAAUUAAAUAAAUAGACAUGGCGUCUUACAUGAAAAUUUGUGUCCUAUAUGUAUUACGUCACAUAAAAUGAGUAUGUCUACUUGUUCAAUUUUAUACAAGUUUAAGUGUUUAUUUGUACACAUCUAAAGUUGGAGGACAUAGAUGUCAGCAAAAACCAAGUUAAAUGACAUAUAUUUUUUUUUAUAUCUUUAGAAAUAUUCAAAAGAAUAAUAGUGAAAAGUAAAUUUUGAUUUUUGUCUUUAAAUUUAAGCGGUACAAACUUCUUUUCUUAUACAACUAGGAUAACAGUUCUCUCUUGAUAUGUCACCUCUUUCACAUUAAUUGUCGUCCUAACUCUUUGUUUAAACUUCUUUGUUGGCAUCUCAAAGUCAAUCAUUCUUUGAAUCUCUUUCACAUUUUUAAGUGAAUUGAAAUAAAUGGACAAAAUUCAUUUAGGAGUCAUUUGCAAAUCAGAUUGUAGUUGGAUGAGAAUGUUGAAUAUUACAGAUUGAUAGUAGUGUCUAAGGUGACUGUUAUAUACAAAUACUUUAAGAACAAACUUUUUUCUUACAUAACGAACGCAAGAAAAUAAGUAAGAAAUCUACUUAUUCUCCGGAAAAACAUUUUCCAAAAAGACAUUUUAGAGGCAUUGUUAUCAUUUGGUAGAUCCAGGUCCAUUGCCGAUUUCUAUGGAACACAUUCUCCAUGGUUCCGAACACACUCUCAGAACUUUGCUCGUUGAUAUCCACUGUUACGGACCUCACUUGUGGAAUUUCAUUGGAUGUGUUGUUGUUGUUUGAGUUGAUAUGCCAUGCUGAAAGUCUUUGUUGUUGUUUGAGUUGAUAUGCCAUGCUGAACGCUUUAUAUGGGCAACAGUAACAGCGAAGUGUUCAAGCUCAUGUGCAUCGCAAAGGCGGCAAACAAACCAGAGAACCAUUCCUAAGAACUUGUUAUUAUGUACUGUGGGCAUAGUCAAACAAAUAAGAUAAAAGAAUUUACUGACUUUAUUUCCUUGUAGAACAUCUCGGACUUAUUGAGGUUUGAACAAUCUACUCAAUUUUCUAGAGUCUCGAGGUGAUUCCAUACGAACAAUUUCUCUUCCCAUAUCUCGCACUAGAUCAUGCAUCACCAAAUAACGCCAAUCCCUUUGGAGAAAGUUCCUUUGGACUAAGGUUGAAAUUGCACUUUCAGAAUAAAAACCACACGCGUUUAAUGUUUUGAUAACUUCAUCCUCAAAAAAUUCAUGGAAGGCACACGCAAUAUCAAGGAAAACACUUUGAGUAUCACAAUCAAGUCCGUCAAAGCUUAUCUUGAGGAUCUUUUGAAUAUCACAAUGAGGAAUUGCUCUUAGUUUUUUGAACUCGUAUCUCCAUUCUUUAACGGAUCUCCCUCACAAUCAAGUCCGUCAAAGCUUAUCUUGAGGAUCUUUUGAAUAUCACAAUGAGGAAUUGCUCUUAGUUUUUUGAACUCGUAUCUCCAUUCUUCUACGGAUCUCCCUUGUAAAUGUGACCCCAAUGUCACAAGAGCUAACGGUAGCCCACCUGAAUAUUUGAUUAUGCUUUGUGCAACCUCAACAUAUUCUUGUGGCGGAGAAGGACUACUAAAAGCAUGACAAGAAAAAAGUUGUUGAGCUUCAUCUUGAUUUAAAUGUUUUGCCUUGUAUCUCUCGUUUUCUCUAAUCCGAGAUAGCAAAUGCUUGUCUCGGGUUGUAAUAAUUAUUAAACUACCAGAACCAAACCAACUUCUUUCUCUUGUUAAGGAUUCUAAUUGGCUCAUAUAAUCCACGUCAUCAAGAAUAAUUAGAACCUUCUUUGACCCAAGUCUUGCUUUGAUUAGAUUGAUGCCUUCAGCAACACUGGUAACUUUGACGUCCUUAGUUUUGAGAAUUUGAUUUAGUAGUUUUUCUUGUAACUUGACUAAACCAAAUGCUUCAGCUUCUGAUCUAACAUCUGAAAGGAAGCAACUAAUAUCAAAGUGUCGAAAUAUUUGAUUGUAGAUAGCUUUAGCCAGAGUUGUUUUUCCUAUUCCACCUACGCCAUAUAUACCAACCAUGCGAACUUCAUCUACACAUCCUUUUUGGAGUAACAACUCUAUAUCUUCGACACGAGAAUCUACUCCAACAGGAUGCCAAGCAAUAUCUAGAGGUGUCUGGUUUACCUCUAGUAGAACUUGUUUUACAAUACUUUCAAUAAAUUUUGAUUCAUGUCUGCAUAUUAGCAAAAACAAAAGUUAGAAUAAAAAAAACAACUUUGAUGUGUGGAAAAAAAAUAAUUGAUAACCAACUUAUGACUUUUGACUGAUAAGUCAGUUUGACCAGUUUAUAAAUAUUACCCGUCAACAACAUUUCGCAAAUCCCAUCCAGAUAAAUUUGCGCUAAUUCAGUAAGUGAAUCCGUCCAUUUUUUCAUUCUCUCAACCUCGAAUGAUCGCUCCUUAAGCAUAGCUAAAACUUCACCAAAGUAUCCGGUUUGCUUGCGUACAUGAGAAGGAUGAACAUCAUAGAAAAUAGGCAAAACUAUUUUCUUUAACUUGUCUUUGCAUUCGAGAAUUUUAACAAGUUCAUCAAGACACCAACUAGACGAAGCAUAAUUUUUCGAGAAAACAACAAUGGAAACUCUAGACUCUUCAAUUGCUUUCUCAAGUUCUUUUGAAAUCACCUUGCCUUUUCUUAAUUCCUCAUCAUCUAUGAAGGUAUUAAUUCCAACUUGACAUAAUCUGGAAUAAAGAUGACCUGUGAAGGUUUUUCGAGUAUCUUCACCUCUGAAACUCAGAAACACGUCAUAAGAGAAGUUGGAAGAAGUAGUUGAUGAUUCCCCUACAACAAAUUGAGUAUUCAUAUUUGAUGACUAAUAUAUGGAAGAAUGAGUAGCUAUCUAUAUAAUAUACCAUGCACAUGCUAUGGUUUUUUCUUGGUAACUUAACUAAUGCUAUAUAUUCUUUAAUUUAUUUUGUACAAUUAUUCUUCAUUAAAUUUUGUUAAUUGGGACUUUUUUUUUAAUGAUUCUUUACCUUUUGUCUCAUCUUUAAUUUGUUAAAGACUUGAAUGAUAAAAAGUAAGAUUCUUUCUUCCUUGAAAACUCAAAAGUUCAUCUCUCCACAUAAUUAUGAUGAUGUUAAGCUUGAUGUCAUAAUCUUUUAAUAAUGGAAUUGAAAACAUCGAUUUGUUCUCAAUUCACAAGUUGGAUUAAACUUUUUUUUCUUUUUUACCUAAUCAAGUAGUAUCGCAUAAAUUAUAACGAUAAUUUUUUAAAAGAAAUUAAAACACUUUGUAUUAAUAGUAAAAACUAGGAAACUUUGUCGUAAUAAAACUAACUACUAGUCUAUUGCAACUAUUAAACAAGUAAACAACUAAUAAAACUAAUUGGAUCACUCUUACUGAACCAUUGGUCUUAAUCCUAUACCUAUCAUACUGAUAUAGAGGUGAAUUCAGAACUUAAAAUUUAUGAAUUCUUAUAAAAAAUAAAUAAAUUUAUGAAUGAUAAUAAUUGAGUUCAUAAUCAAAUUAUAUUAAUUACUUAAUGAUUUUCUUAGUACAUAUAAAUAAUAUGAAUAAAAUCUAUUGAGUUCACACUAACCUCUCUAUAAUAAUCAAAUCAGUAAUUUUGAUCCAAAUUGAACUUUGUAUUUAUGAUAAUAAAUUUGUUUGUUAUGUGUAAAAAUAAUAUCCGGAACCCGAUCCGACCAGUAAAUGCUUUUUAUAAAAUUGAGAACCUAUAAAUAUAAAAUCGAAAUGCCAGUAGCAGUCAUAGUAUUUGGAACAAAGAAAAGCAAGGGAAUAACAAACCAUAUCUUCUGCUCCAACUUCACUUUCUUUAUAGUAUUUUUGAAAGGAAAAAAGGGAAUAGAAUUAAAUAUUAUCAGAAUGCCAACCAAAUAUUGAUUUUGUGCUCUAUCCUUACUGUGGGAAAAAAAAGAAAAUGUAAUUUAUUUGUGCAGUUUUUUAAUCUUCCAGGCGUCCCAUUUUUCUAUGGAUUGAAUUAUCAUAAUAUUUUAUGACAAAAUACUGUAAAAUGGUGUAUGACUGUAUGGGAAAUAUAAUAUUUGUAUAUUCCUCAAAAUCAUGAUAAUACCAUUUGUUUCUAACUUUUUAAUUGUACUAAUUGAAUAGAUUAAUUGUACAAUAUACUUUUGUUUAGUUCAAAGUUUUCCUCUUUGUACUUUAAGCUUGUGUGUCACGUCAGUAUAGGGUGUCCACGAGACACAUUAAGGGUGAGUUGGAGUGUUUAGCUGUUAGUUGAGAUGUCUAUAUGUACACUUUUAAUUAGUUACGCUUGCGAAAUUUUAAUUGGAUGACAAAACUAGGAUCGAAGUUUCGAGUGGUUAGCAUCUGACGGAUGAAAAAAAAAUCUAAAUGAAAAAUACUUUUUAGCGAAUCAGCUUGUAGUUGGAUGAGAAUUUUGAAUAUUACAGAUUGAUAGUAGUGUCUUAGGUGUUAUAUACAAAUACUUUAUGAACAAACGUUUUUCUUACAUAACGAUCACAAGAAAAUAAGUAAGAAACCUACUUAUUCUCCGGAGAAACAUUUUCCAAAAAGACAUUUUAGAGGCAUUGUUAUCAUUUGGUAGAUCCAGGUCCAUGGCCUACUUCUAUGGAACACAUUUUCCAUGGUACAUAACACAUUCUCAGAACUUUGCUCGUUGAUAUCCACUAAUACGGACCUCACUUGUGGGAUUUCACUGGAUGUGUUGUUGUUGUUUGAGUUGAUAUACCAUGCUGAAAGUCUUUGUGGGUAGGAGGGAGUAUAAGAAUGAUCCACAACUGCCGGGAAAGAAGUAACAUUACCAUGUUGAUCUACAUAUAAUAGACGUACUCCUAUCUUCUUUACAACGGCUCCGCCAGUGCGAUCCUCUACUGUUAUCUGUUCCCCGCCUUUGAUCUUCAGGCCAUUAAAAGGUCUAUUGUUUGAGUAAGAGAAGUAAUAUACACGUGAUAUUUCUCCCUGACUGUCAGGUAUAUUAAAAUGCGAACUCCACCAAAAAGUUGAAGACUCUACAUGGGCAACAGUAACAAUGAAGCUUUGAAGAUAGGAGGAUACAUUGCCAAAGUGGCAAACAAACCAGAGAACCAUUCCCAAGAACUUAUUAUUAUGUACUGUGGGCAUAGUCAAACAGAUAGAUGGAGCUGUUACUUUAUUGCUGCACCAAUCUGGAAUCUCAUUGCUUUCGAGAUUAAUUUGUAAUGACAUCUUCAUCAGACAAAUUAAGACACAAUUAGAUCAUUAAUUAUUAAUGUGAUACGAGGGAGAGAUCAGAGAGGGAGAGGGACUAACCUUAUACCGUUGAUGUUUUCUAGACGGAAUUGAUAGAGCAUGGGCACUAAAGAAGCCUUCAUUGAAUGGAUUCUGCAGACGAGUACAAUUAAUCAUGUCCACCUUCUCUAUUGAAGGGAGGUAGUCCGACCCUGUAAUCUUGACCAGUUUUUGGCAAUUCCUAAGUUCAACAAUUGCAAGGUGCUCUAAAUUUGAUAUUGACGGGAGUGUUUGAAGGUUCUCACAAUCAUUCAAAUAUAAGGACGUCAACAAUGGUAACUUGGAAAAAUCAAAGGGUAGAUAGAGGAAACUGUUGCCGCUCAAAUCUAAAAAAUAUAAGUUGGAUAAACUCCCAAUAUCCCUAGGAACAUCAGCCUCCGAGAAACCACAAUAUGAAAGGCGUAGAUUCAAAAUAAAUUUUGACAAGGACACUAUGGGGCGUACUCUUCUUUGAGAAAAACUCCUUUUGGCCUUUAAGUAUUGGCCUCCCAUUUCCAAUUCUACAAGAUUUCGUAGCAUUUCAACAGAUCCAGGCAAUUGUUUUAUACCUGUUUCACGUGCAUUAAGAUAUCUUAGGCUUUGCAUAGCUCCAAUGUUAACUGGCAGUGUUUGUAAAGACGAGCAGUCAUUAAUGUACAAGGUUUUAAGGGAUUUUAGCUGGCAUAUGCUGCUCGGAAGAUCCGUAAUAUUUUUUGCAACCAUUCAAUUGAAGAUCAGUUAGUCUGUCCAAAUUUCCUAUUGAUGGAUGGAUCUCCUUCAGACUUGAAGCAAUUCUCAAGCAACAAAGUCUCGAGACUUCGUGAACCGUUGAAGUUUGGAGUUUUUCUGAGGCGCUUGCAAUCAGAGAGAUCCAGCAUUUUCAAAUUUCUACAAUACUAAAAGUAAACAAAAUAUUGUUUCAAUUAAGAUUUUCUUUCCCUUAAACAUUACACAUAAAUUUGCAAAAUUGAGUAACGAACCUGCAAAUUCAAACCAAAUUCUAGGAUAUUGCUCCCUUUCAUAUUCAGAAAUACAAGUUUCUCAGAUGGAAAAUUUGAUGGUACACAUUUUAAAGGACAUCCUUUCCAAGACAGCCAUCUGAGCUCCUUGGACAAUAGCUCAAAAUCUCCACUAAUAUGUAAAGUCGUCGAUUUUUAAGCACCCUAAGAUUUAUCAUUUUCUGAAAUGCUUUUGGUGUUCAGCUUCACACCCUUUAAUGCCUGUCGUUCUACCACCAAUAUUUCUACAUUUUUAGAACCCUACAGUUUAGUAAAAAGAAAAGUACUAUAAGACCAUGUUAAGUAUGAUAAAUUAAGAAAGAGAAAUGCUUUAUACAAAUUGAAGGUCAAACAAAUAGAAUAAAUUAUGUACCAAUAAAAAAAAAAUUACACAUUAUAUCCAACUAAAGGAUGUUUAUUUGAUAAUUUUGUCUUUGAUAGUUUGUUUAGACUUCAGUAAAUGUUCAUUUCAAGUACAGAAUGGUUCAAACAUCUAAAGAUACUUACUAACGGGAGAAGAUUUAAGCACAAAUGCAUAAAUUAUAAGCAAAUGUAUAUCAAUAUGAAAAAAGAAGAAGAAGAAGUAUAACCAAGAUAAAGAUAAUGAAAUUUACUGACUUUAUUUCCUUGUAGGACAUCAAGGACUUCUUGAGGGUUGACCAAUCUACUCCGUUUUCCACUGUCUCGAGGUGAUUCCAUGCGAACGAUUUCUCUUCCCACAUCCUGCACUAGAUCAUGCAUCACCAAACGACGCCGAUCCCUUUGGAGCAGGUGUCUUUUGACUAGAGUUACAAUUGCACUUUCACAAUACAAACCACAGGCGUUUAAUGUUUUGGUAACUUCAUCCUCAUCACAUCCAUGGAAGGCGCACGCAAUAUCAAGGAAAACAUUCUGAGUAUUGUCAUCAAGUCCAUCAAAGCUUAUUUGGAGAAUCUUUUGAAUAUCAAAAUGAGGAAUUGUUCUUAGUUUUUCGAACUCGUAUCUCCAUUCUUCAACGGAUCUCCCUUGUAAAUGUGACCCCAAUGUCACAAGAGCUAAUGGUAGCCCACCUGAAUAUUUAAUUAUGUUUUGGGCCAGCUCAACAUAUUCAUGUGGUGGAGAAAGACUGUUAAAAGCAUGACAAGAAAAAAGUUGUUGUGCUUCGUUGCCAUUUAAAAGUUUGGCCCGGUAUAUCUCAUUUGUUGUAAGACCAUAAAGCAAAUGCUCGUCUCGGGUUGUAAUAAUUAUAACACUACCAGAACCAAACCAAUUUCUUUCUCUUGUUAAGGAUUCUAAUUGGCUUCUAUGAUCCACAUCAUCAAGAACAAUUAGAACCUUUUGGGACCCAAGUCUUGCUUUGAUGAGAUUAACACCUUCAGCAACACUAUCAACUUCAAAUUCCUUAGUUUUGAGGAUUUGAUGAAGUAGUUUCUCUUGAAGCUUGAUUAGACCCAAUUCUUCAGCUUUUGAUCUAACAUCUGAAAGGAAGCAACUACCACCAAACUGUAGAAAUAUUCUAUUGUAGAUGGCUUUUGCUAGAGUUGUUUUUCCAAUUCCACCAACGCCACAUAUACCAACCAUUCGAACUUCAUGCUCACAUCCACUUUGCAUUAACAACAAUAUAUCUUUGAUAGGAGAAUCUAAUCCAAUUGGAUAAUGAGCAACAUCUAGAGGUGUCUGGUUGACUUCUUGCAGAACUUGUUUUAUAAUACUUUCAAUAAAUUUUGAUUCAUGCCUACAGUUUUUUUAGCAAAAACAGUAAAAAACAAAACUUUGAUAUUUGAAAAUAUAUGAUGAACAAAACAAAAUCCAUAGCCAACAGAUAACAGGGAAAUCGAGGGUAGAGAAUGGAGAUUAUCAAUUACUAUUACUCCCUCGUUCCAAUUUAUGUGAUGCAGUCUGAUUUGGCACGGAGAUUAAGAAAUAUAAAAAGAAUUUGCAAUGUUCCAAAACUAACCAACUUAUAAGCUUAGGCAAAUGCUUAAAUUCAAAAUUCUAAAGUUGAAUUAAGAAGUGUUACCCAUCAGCAACAUUUCUCAAAUCCCAUCCAGAUAAAUUUGCUGCUUCAGUAAGUGCAGCUUUCCACUUUUCCAUUCUUUCAGUUCCAAUUGAUCGUUCCUUGUGUUUUGCCAAAGCUUCGCCAAAGGAUCCAGUUUGUCUUCGUACUUGAGAAGGAUCAACAUCAUAGAAAAUAGGCAAAACUAGCUGAUUUAACCUCUCUCUGCAAUCGAGAAUUUUGACAAGUUCAUCAAGACACCAACUAGAGGAAGCAUAAUUUUUGGAGAAAACAACAAUGGCAACCCUAGAUUGUUCAAUUGCUUUCUCAAGUUCAAUUGAAAUGACGUCUCCCUUUCUCAAUUCCUCAUCAUCUAUGAAAGUAUUAACUCCGACUUGACAUAAUCUGAAAUAAAGAUGACCGGUAAAGUUGUUUCUGGUAUCUUCACCUCUGAAACUGAGAAACACAUCAUAAGAGAAGUUGGAAGAAGAAGAUGAUUCUCCUUGAGUAUUCAUAUUUGAUGACAAUAAAUGGAAGAAUUAAGCGAUUUUUAGUUGAAUGAAAGAAAAGAUGAGUGAAGCAGUUACAGGUAAUUGUUUGUUCCUGGAAACUCAAUUUUGGGUCAACUCAUUUACAAUCCCUAAAGAAAGUUAAUCGAAACGAAAGGGAAGUUCCCAGCAUAUUUCUUAGAUAGUUCACGUGUCUAUAUUAAAAGUAGAUAUAUUUACAUAAAUUUAGAUGGCAAAAAGUAAUCUCUUUCUCUUAAUUAAUUACUUCUCCACUUUUGAAUUGACACACCUGAGUAUUAAGAAAACAAUAAGAAGUAGUAGAAAUAAUUAGGGAUGAUAAUGAGAUAGCGUGGAUGAAAGGUAGGGCGGAUUAAAGGUUAUAUGGGGCGGGGGCGGGGAGCUUUUAAGGUUGUAUGGGGUUGGGUGGAUGCAAAUUAAUGUGAGGCGGUGCGAUUUGUGGGUUCAUGUGAUUUUAUACGGAUUCAAAUUUAAUUUUAAUUGUAUAGGUUAUAAGAGUGAUGAAGCUUUCACGGAUAAAAAUACACAUGAUUUGGUAGUUAAACUAUUAGUAUUAGGAUUAGGAUAAAAUAAAGAGAAUAAUCUUGCCCUUUGUCUUGUAUUGUGUUAUAAUUCAUAUAAAAAAAUUUAUCUGAUUUGGAGUCUACUCAAUUUUCAAAAGAAAAAAAAAACUUUAAUUCAUGAUGUGCACUUUAUUUAUGCUUUUAUUUGCAUCUACUUAUUUUGACCCAACGAAAAUGAAUUUUGUUAUUUAUGCUCUGCAUAAAUUGCAUCUAGUUAAAAAGAAUUUUGAAAUAUUGAGUUUUAUGAAUUUGAUUUUAUUUUAUUUUCUACAAAAAUUGUGUGAUCAUUUGGUAAUGGCCAUUACUAUUGCUCAAAGAUUUUAAACAUGAAAUAUAACUAAUACAAUAAUAAUUUUAAUAUAGCUUACUAAAAUAUUCAAGAUAAUAAAUGAAAAUGAUUAGAGUUUUCGAUAAAACUCAUCCUCAAACUAUAGCCUAGAUUUUGGUUACAUCCUUGCAUUAUUAUAUUGAACAAAAAACAUCAUUCAUCUAUCUAAGAAGUUUCAAUAGUCAUCCUUCGGUUAAUUUUGGUAAAAAGUUAACUUGUUAUCGUCAAAAUAUGUGUAAAGCAUGUAGGUUUCCCUCUAAAUCUCCUAACCUAAAUCGUCUUCUCCACUAUAUUUUGAGCUAUUGCACUUUAGAUUUGUGUCAUAGUUGAAGGAUGAUUUCAGUAAAAAAUUUAAAAUAAUUUAAUUAAAAUUAAUACAAUUUCUUACCUACUUCCUAAUUGGGAACUUUGUAUUUAUGAUAAAGAAGUAUAAAAAAGUUAUCCCGAACCCGACCAGUAAAUGCUUUUUUAUAAAAUUUAGAACCUAUAGUUUUUUAAUCUUCCAGGGGUCCCAUUUUUCUAUGGAUUGAAUUAUCAUAAUAUUUUAUGACAAAAUACUGUAAAAUGGUGUAUGAUUGUAUGGCAUAUAUACCAUUUGUAUAUUCCCCAAAAUCAAUGAUAACCAUUUGUCUCUAACUUUAAUUUUGAAUUGUACUAAUUGAAUAUAUUAAUUGUACAAUAUACAUUUAUUUAGUUCAAAGAUUUCCUCUUUGUACUUUAAGCUUUGGAGUGUAUUGUUUUCCGCAUUUUAUGAAGUGUUACUAUUAGAAAAAAAGGCAUAAUACAUAAACAUGUGAUAUUCAAAUUUGGUCUCAGUUAAAUUCUCCAAUUUAUAAAAUGAUCAUUUAGAUUCUUCCAAAAUUAUUUGUUAUGUUAAUGUAGGAUGUCCACGAGAUACAUUGAGGCCAAGUUGGAGUGUUUAGCUGUUAGUUAAUAGCAAGUUAAAAUAUCUAGACGUGCACUUUCAAAGUUAGAGACUGAUUUUAUGUUGUUUUUUAUUUGUGUGUCUAAUUAUGAUGUUUUAUUUAUAUGGUUUGAUUUGUGAAUGAAUUUUGAUUUUGCUCAUGUUAUUGUUGAUGGAUUCAUUUUCAGUCACUACUUAAUUAGUUACUAGAUGUGGAUUAAGAUUUUGAGUUUGUAAGUUCUAGAUCUCAACCGAUCAUUUUUGAAGUUUGUUGGAAUGUCAUAACAUAAAUACAUGAUUUGAAUCAAAGUUAUUGAGUUUGAUCAAACCCGUAGAUCCUAUACACGGUGGAUGAGUGAAGCAGAAAUAAUUGGACAAAAUUCAUUUAGGAGUCAUUUGCAAAUGAGAUUGUAUUUGGAAGAGAAUUUUGAAUAUUACAUAUUGAUAGUAGUGUCUAAGGUGUUAUAUACAAAUACUUUUAGAACAAACUUUUUUCUUACAUAAUGAACACAAGAAAAUAAGUAAGAAAACCUACUUAUUCUCCGGGGAAACAUUUUCCAAAAAGACAUUUUAGAGGCAUUGUUAUCAUUUGGUAGAUCCAGGUCCAUGGCCUAUUUCUAUGGAACACAUUCUUCAUGGUACCGAACACAAUCUCAGAACUUUGUUCGUUGAUAUCCACUGUUACGGACCUCACUUGUGGGAUGUGUUGUUGUUGUUUGAGUUGAUAUGCCCGAAAGUCUUUGUGGGUAGGAGGGAGUAUAAGAAUGAUCCACAACUCCCGGCAAAGAUGUAACAUUACCAUGUUGGUCCAAGUAUAACAGAUGGAUCCCUAUCUUCUUUACUAGUCUCUGUCAGUUUCAUUCUUUACUGUUAUCUGUUCCCCACCUUUGAUGUUCAGGCCUUUAAAAGGUCUAUCAUUUACGGAAGAUAAGUAAUAUACACAUGAUACUUCUCCGUGACUGUUAGGUCUAUCAAAAGGCCAAAUCCACGGAAAACCUGUACUCUUUUUAUGGGCAACAGUAACAGCGAAGUGUUCAAGAUCAUGUACAUCGCAAAGGCGGCAAACAAACCAGAGAACCAUUCCUAAGAACUUGUUAUAAUGUACUGUGGGCAUAGUCAAACAGAUAGAUGGAGCUGUUACUUUAUUGCUGCACCAAUCUGGAAUCUCAUUGCUUUCGAGAUUAAUUUGUAAUGACAGCUUCAUCAGACAAAUUAAGACACAAUUAGAUCAUUAAUUAUUAAUGUGAUACGAGAGAGAUCAGAGAGGGAGAGGGACUAACCUCAUACCGUUGAUGUUCUCUAGACGGAAUUGAUAGAGCAGGGGCACUAAAGAAGCCUUCACUGAAUGGAUUCUGCAGACGAGUACAAUUAAUCAUGUUCAUCUUCUCUAUUGAAGGGAGGUUGUCCAACCCUGCAAUCUUGACCAGUUUUUGGCAAUUCCUAAGUUCAACAAUUUCAAGGUACUCUAAAUUUGAUAUUGACGGGAGUGUUUGAAGGUUCUCACAAUCAUUCAAAUACAAGGACAUCAACAAUUGUAACUUGGAAAAAUCAAAGGGUAGAUAGAGGAAACUGCUGCCGCUCAAAUCUAAAUGAUAUAAGUUGGAUAAACUCCCAAUAUCCCUAGGAACAUCAGCCUCUGAAAAACCACAAUAUGGAAGGCAUAGAAUCGAAAUAAAUUUUGACAAGGAUACUAUAGGGCGUACUCUUGUUUGAGAAAACCUCCUUUUGGUCUCAAAGUAUUGACCUCCCAUUUCCAAUUCUAUAAGAUUUCCUAGCAUUUCAACAGAUCCAGGCAAUUCUUUUAUACCUGUUUCACGUGCAUUAAGAAAUCUUAGGCUUUGCAUAUCUCCAAUGUCAACUGGCAGUGUUUGUAAAGAUGAGCAGUCAUUAAUGUACAAGAUUUCAAGGGAUUUUAGCUGACAUAUGCUGCUCCAAAGAUCAGUAAUCUUUUUGCAACCACUCAAUCGAAGACAAAUUAGUCUGUCCAAAUUUCCUAUGGAUGGAUGGAUCUCCUUCAGACUUGAGCAAUUCUCAAGCCACAAAGUCUCGAGACUUCGUGAACCGUUGAAGUUUGGAGUUUUUCUGAGGCGCUUGCAAUAAGAGAGAUCCAGCAUUUUCAAAUUUCUACAAUACUAAAAGUAAACAAAACAUAGUUUCAAUUAAGAUUUUCUUUCUCUUAAACAUUACACAUAAAAUUGCAGAAUUGAGUAACGAACCUGCAAAUUCAAACCAAAUUCUUGGAUAUUGCUCCCUUUCAUAUUCAGAAAUACAAGUUUCUCAGAUGGAAAAUUUGAUGGUACACAUUUUAACGGACAUCCUUUCCAAGACAACCAUCUGAGCUCCUUGGACAAUAGCUCAAAAUCUCCACUAAUAUGUAAGUGGUCUAUUUUAAGCACCCUAAGAUUUAUCAUUUUCUGAAAUACUUUGGUGCUUAGCUUCACACCCUUUAAUGCUUGUCGUUCUACCACCAAUAUUUCUACUUUUUUAGAACCCUGCAAUUUAGUAAAAAUAAAAGUACUAUAAGACCAUGCUUAAGUAUGACAAAUUAAGAAAGAGAAAUGCUUUAUACAAAUUGAAGGUCAAACAAAUAGAAUAAAUUAUGUACCGAUAAAAAUAAAUUUACACAUUAUAUCCAACUAAAGGAUAUUUAAUUGAUAAUUUUGUCUUUGACAGAUUGAGUGUUUAGACUUCAGUAAAUGUUCAUUUCAAGUACAGAAUGGUUCAAACAUCUAGAGAUACUUACUGGCCGGAGAAGAUUUAAGCACAAAUGCAUAAAUUAUAAGCAAAUGUAUAUCAAUAUAAAUGUAAAAAAGAAGAAGAAGUAUAACCAAGAUAAAGAUAAUAAAAUUUACUGACUUUAUUUCCUUGUAGAACAUCAAUGACUUCUUGAGGGUUGAACAAUCUACUCCGUUUUCCAGGGUCUUGAGAUUCCAUGCGAACGAUUUCUCUUCCCAUUUCCUGCACUAGAUCAUGCAUCACCAAACUAGACCAAUCAUCCCUUUGGAGCAAGUUCCUUUGGACUAAGGUUGAAUUGAACUUUCAGAAUAAAAACCACACGCAUUUAAUGUUUUGGCAACUUCAUCCUCAUAACAACCAUGGAAGGCACAUGCGAUAUCAAAGGAAAACACUCCGAGUAUUGACAUCAAGUCCAUCAAAGCUUAUCUUGAGAAUCUUUUGAAUAUCACCAUGAGGAAUUGCUUUUAGUUUUUUGAACUCGUAUCUCCAUUCUUUAACGGAUCUCCCUAGCAGAUGUGACCCCAAUGUCACAAGAGCUAAUGGUAGCCCACCUGAAUAUUUUAUUAUGUCUUGUGCCAGUUCAACAUAUUCUUGUGGUGGAGAAAAACAGUUAAAAGCAUGACAAGAAAAAAGUUGUUGGGCUUCAUUGUCAUUUAAAAGUUUGGCCCGGUAUAUCUCACUUGUUGUAAGCCCAUAUAGCAAAUGUUCAUCUCGGGUUGUAAUAAUUAUUACACUACCAGAGCCAAACCAACUUCUUUCUCUUGUUAAGGAUUCUAAUUGGCUUCUAUGAUCUACGUCAUCAAGAACAAUUAGAACCUUUUGAGACCCAAGUCUUGCUUUGAUGAGAUUAGCACCUUCAGCAACAUUAUCAACUUCAAAUUCCUUAGUUUUGAGGAUUUGAUUAAGUAGUUUCUCUUGAAGCUUGACUAGACCAGAUUCUUCAGUUUUUGAUCUAAUGUCAGAAAGGAAGCAACUACCAUCAAACUGUUGAAAUAUUCGAUUAUAGAUAGCUUUUGCCAAAGUUGUUUUUCCAAUUCCACCAACGCCACAUAUACCAACCAUGCAAACUUCAUGCUCACAUCCACUUUGCAGUAACAACUCUAUAUGUUUGAUAGGAGAAUCUAAUCCAGUUGGGUAAUGAGCAACAUCUAGAGGUGUCUGGUUAACCUCUCGCAGAACUUGUUUUAUAAUAUUUUCAAUAAAUUUUGCUUCAUGCCUACAGUUUUUGCAACAAUAAAUACUUAGGUAUUUAAAAAUAUUUGAUGAACAAAAUAAAAAUCAAUAGCCAAAAGAUAAAAGAGUUUAUAGAAUGGAGAAUAUAUUCCUUGUCCCUAUCUAUAUGACACAGUUUGAUUUGACACAAAAUUUAAGAAAUAUAGAAAGACUUUACAAUGUUCCAAAAUUAACCAAGUUAUAAGCUUAGGCAAACGCUUAAAUUCAAAAUUUAAUAGUUGAAUUAAGAAGUCUUACCCAUCAGCAACAUUUCUCAAAUCCCAUCCAGAUAAAUUUGCUGCUUCAGUAAGUGCAGCUUUCCACUUUUCCAUUCUUUCAGCUCCAACAAAUCGUUCCUUAUGUUUUGCCAAAGCUUCGUCAAAGGAUCCAGUUUGCCUUCGCACUUGAGAAGGAUCAACAUCAUAGAAAAUAGGCAAAACUACCUGAUUUAACCUCUCUUUGCAAUCGAGAAUUUUGACAAGUUCAUCAAGACACCAACUAGAGGAAGCAUAAUUUUUGGAGAAAACAACAAUGGCAACCCUAGACUGUUCAAUUGCUUUCUCAAGUUCAAUUGAAAUGACGUCUCCCUUUCUCAAUUCCUCAUCAUCUAUGAAAGUAUUAACUCCAACUUGACACAAUCGGAAAUAAAGAUGACCUGUGAAGUUUUUCCGAGUAUCUUCACCUCUGAAACUGAGAAACACAUCAUAAGAUAAGUUGGAAGAAGAAGAUGAUUCUCCUACAACAAAUUGAGUAUUCAUAUUUGAUGACAAUAAAUUAAAGAGAUUUUUAGUCAAUUUUUUGCUUAAUUAAUUAAAUAGAGAUGUGAAGCAGCUAUUUAUAUACCCACAAGUACUUGUUUGUUCCUGGAAAUUUAAUUUUGGGUCAAGUCAUUUACAAGCCCCAAAGAAGGUUUACAGAAAUGAAAGGGAAGUUUCCAAGACAUAAUAUGUCUAUUCACUUUUAUUUGUCCAGCUAUUAAAAGUAGAUAUACAAUUUACUUUCAUUUCCUUCGUAGAUUUUUACUCAUUCACACUAUUAAAAAUAAUGAUCAUUUUUAUAAUGUAUUUUUUCAUCAUAUUAAUAUGCAAAAAAUUGUAAUUUAUAAUUUUUUUAUAGUUUUUGAAUAUUUAAAUUUUUUGUUUAAAAUAUCAAAUUAAUACAAUCUAAUUUAAUUUUGAAAAUUAAUUAAAUUGACUUUCGAAAAUGACAAUAUGAUAUAAAUGAGAGAAUACCAAAAGAGCUGGCAAAUUUCCACCAAAACUUCGCAAGUGGAAAUUAUUAUUAUCUUAAAGUUAUGAACUCACAUCUACAAUUAUUAUUUAGUUUAUUAUAUUUAAAUAAAAAAGAGGAAAAGUCGGAAGUUGUAAAAUUUUAAAUGACAAGUAGAAUGUUUCAACAUGAAUUUAUGAUACUUUAAUAAGCAAUAUUCGUUCUGUAAUAAAUUAAUCGCAAAGAAUUGAUUAGGAAUUUGGUUGAAAAUAGAAAUGGUCCAAUUCAAGAUGAAACUAUUAGAAUUGACCUUUGGUGAGGAAGUAAAUUAAAUUACUCCCUUCGUCUAUUUUUAUUUGUCUAGUAUUAACUCAUGCAAUAAAUAAAACAAAAACAUGAUCGUAUUUGUUCCUGUAUUCUAACAAAAAAGUUAUAUUAUUUGUCAUUUGUUAUACUUCAGAGUCAUAUUUAUCCUUGAGACAUUAAAUCUCCAUGACCCGCCUUAAUUUAACGCAGAAUAGGACGAACACUCUUCUCCAAAGUCCAAGCUAAGACUGUUUCCAUUACUAAAAAUCAAUAAAUUACACAGUUCGAUCACUUACAAUGUUCUCUGGUAUUGUAGGUUAAUCAGAGAGACACUAUAUUCACUAUACAAAGAAAAAGUUGAUCAAUUUUUAAAACUAAGCUUUAGUGCAACUCUACAUACUAGCACUAUACAAUGGAAAAAUUGGUUACAUAAAUUAAACAAAAUUUUCUAUAGAAGCUACUGCUAUCGAAGCUCGAUGCUCCAUUGUUCAUACCUAAUAAUGGCUUUGUAGCCCUAUAAUAGUACACAUUCUACUACAUCCAUCUUCCCAUCUUCAUUGACAUCAUUUUCCUCUUCUUGUGGGCUUUAUGCUUUUCUGCAAUCCUCAGCCUCCUCUUGGCGUUUCUCAUUGGAUUGACCUUCUCUUCUUGUUUCCUCUUAUCCCUCUUCGAUUUGAUAUUCUUCCUUAUAUGACUGUAGAUUUGGACAAAAUAUGUGUUCCUAUAACAUUGCUUAUGCUCCCUCGCACUCCUUCAGCCAGUUGUUUCACGUCAUCUGUGGAGAUGAUGCAAACGUAAUGUCACGCCCCGAGCGUACACCCUGGGCAGGACCGGCACCCGGAGACCAUUUCUGGCCCCAAGCGAACCCUUGGCCUGGCUUUCUUAACUCAGCGGAAACCUAACCCAACAGAAUAACUCAAUGCAAUGCAAUAUUACAAAACAACUUAACUUAUAAAAUAUGGCCAUAAAGGCAACUCGAAUCUCAAAAUAGAAUAUUUACAUAUAUAUAUAGAUGAGAGACUCAAAACUAACUGACUGACUGUCUGUCUAUGAAGCCUCUAAAAUACUGAGAUGGAUGUUGGGACAGACCCCGCAACACCCUAAUAAGACAAAACUAAGAGAACAAAAUAACUAAGCCCUCCGGAAGCAAGGAGGCUCACACUGACUCUGGAGUGCUCAANNNNNNNNNNNNNNNNNNNNNNNNNNNNNNNNNNNNNNNNNNNNNNNNNNNNNNNNNNNNNNNNNNNNNNNNNNNNNNNNNNNNNNNNNNNNNNNNNNNNNNNNNNNNNNNNNNNNNNNNNNNNNNNNNNNNNNNNNNNNNNNNNNNNNNNNNNNNNNNNNNNNNNNNNNNNNNNNNNNNNNACAAGGAUACAAUAAGCCUGAGAUGUAUAUAGAAAUACAAUUAAACUGAUGUAUAUAAAAAAAUACAAUAAUCUCUGUGUAUGAAAAUACAAUAACUGCUGUGGGAGUUUCUCUAACNNNNNNNNNNNNNNNNNNNNNNNNNNNNNNNNNNNNNNNNNNNNNNNNNNNNNNNNNNNNNNNNNNNNNNNNNNNNNNACUUUGGCUCAUAUGUUUUAAAAACAAACUUCUUUCUUUAGUUUGAGAUAAUUGCUUAAAACCUAGCCCAAAGGCUCUCUUGGAAUCAAUGUUCCCUUUACUUUGCUCAAAUGUGAAAACAUUUAUAAACUUCUUUGGGAAUACUUAGUUCCCUAAUAGCUUUUGAGAAAUGAACUCAACUUUAUGCUCUUGACUUACUUGAAACUUGAGACUCUUUACUUAGCUUGAAACUUUAAACUCUUUACUUGACUUGACACUUGAGUCUAAAAAUGAAGUUAAAACGUUCAAUAAAGACUCUUGAACAACUUUGCAACUUGCUUACCUUGCUUAACUUCUAAGCUUAACUCUUAAUUUCUAACUUCACUUGACUUCUAACUAACUCUCCUUGAAUUGGAAUUUUGGAUUCAAGGUGUUUGAUCACAUGUUAUGGAUGAGUUCUUGACUUUUAGAAGUACCUUGGAGUGUUGGAAACAACUAGGAAACAUAGGUAUAAUACCUAGGAACAUGUAUGAAAAAAGUGGUGAAUGAAAGGGAAGGAUUGGUGUCCUUGGCACUAGGAGAGGUGCGACAGCCCAGCCCUUUGUUCCCCAAAAAUCCGACUUUUUCCCCUUGUUUCUUUCCAAUUCUAAACCCUCUCAACCUCAAGGUUUCAGCAACAACACUUAGAAUCAUAAAGACCCUUAUUAUACAAUAGAUUCAACUCAAAAAUCACAGCCGGAAAUUUGUACUAAACCAGCAAGAACUUCAACACAACACCACUACAACUUCAACAACCAAUAAAUCUUCUCUUGGAAUUAAAAACGAGUUGGUGUGUGGGGGUAUGAACCAACCAACNNNNNNNNNNNNNNNNNNNNNNNNNNNNNNNNNNNNNNNNNNNNNNNNNNNNNNNNNNNNNNNNNNNNNNNNNNNNNNNNNNNNNNNNNNNNNNNNNNNNNNNNNNNNNNNNNNNNNNNNNNNNNNNNNNNNNNNNNNNNNNNNNNNNNNNNNNNNNNNNNNNNNNNNNNNNNNNNNNNNNNNNNNNNNNNNNNNNNNNNNNNNNNNNNNNNNNNNNNNNNNNNNNNNNNNNNNNNNNNNNNNNNNNNNNNNNNNNNNNNNNNNNNNNNNNNNNNNNNNNNNNNNNNNNNNNNNNNNNNNNNNNNNNNNNNNNNNNNNNNNNNNNNNNNNNNNNNNNNNNNNNNNNNNNNNNNNNNNNNNNNNNNNNNNNNNNNNNNNNNNNNNNNNNNNNNNNNNNNNNNNNNNNNNNNNNNNNNNNNNNNNNNNNNNNNNNNNNNNNNNNNNNNNNNNNNNNNNNNNNNNNNNNNNNNNNNNNUGAUUUGUGAAAAGACCAAAAUGCCCUUAAAUUUUCCGGACGGAUUCCCUGCCAACUGCCCAACUUUCAAAGGGCAUAACUCGCUCAUACGAACUCGGAAUCGAGUAAUCUCAAUGGCGUUGGAAAGAUCAUUCCACAAGCUUCGCAACCAUAACUGGAACUACUCCUAACUCAUCCUGAGCUAGGAGUUACGACUGACUCAAAGUUGGCCAAAAUCACUGAUUUCCACACUUAGCCAAAUUUUCCAGAUUUUGAAUUUUUCCAAAUUUCCAGAUUCUGGACUGCCAAAUUUCCAGAUUUUAAAUUUUUCCAAAAAUGACUAUUUCCAAAUUCAAGCUUCUUCAUAUUCAUUUUAAAUUGUCGGAUGUUACACGUAAUCAUCAAAUAUAUUAAGGACUACAAAGUUAAUCACUCGGAAGCCAAAGAGGAAGUGAAGAACAUUUGUAAAUGCAGCUAGCACUUUGCAUAUAAGAUAGUAUGGGCAGACACUUGAAACAACAAGUUUGCAAGAGAUUGAAUGAGAGACCAUACCUGAUAUAACUUUUCCAGCAAAUCCUUCACAAACUUUGUACAGGGGCAACAGCAUAUGAUAUGCAAAGCUUUGGCAAUCAACCUCACCUUCAGGGGACAACAAUCUACUCUGAUCUAUAAGCUUUGGUGAAACUGAUUUGAAACAAUUGAAGAUAAUUCUCAUCUGCAAAAAAUUGUGCACAUUCCACAGCAUGAGAACAGGCACUCCUAGCACCAUAUAUGGGAGAGUAAGGCACAAAAUAUUUUUUUUGGAAAACAACGAGAAGGUAAAUUACAUAGCAAUGACUAGGCUAAGAAAUUUUUUGCGAGUCGAGCAAACAGAGAUAUCCUUAAUUAAUCACCCACCUGCAUAUCCUCCACAUGAAGGGAAAUCUUUCCCAUUGUCUUAAGCAAAUAAGAAAUGACCAAGUAGCGCUGGCCUUCAUCUUCUUGAUCGCUAAGGUCAGACACAAGAGACAGAUAGAUGUUUUUCCCUUUCCUUGAAUCAAGCUGUUGAAAAGCCUUAAGCAGAAGACCCUGCUCGUCAUGUUCAAUGGUGGACCAGAACUCAUCUUUACAUUCAUUUUUUCCUAAGAAUGAAUGCAGAGAGCAAAUUGAAAAGACAAGAUUUUGAGUAAUGAGAUCACUGGCAGCAUCAUCAGUCUGCAGCACCUUCAGCUGACAACAAAGAGAAGUAGCUACGAAGAAAAGUCUACUUGGCCUCAUCAAAAAGUAAGUUUCUUGUGGCAGUUCAAGGUUUUCUUUCCAAGCCUCAGUCACAGUGGCAAAGUAGCAAGCCACAAGACGGUUUGAUAUGUUGCGCAACCACAGAUGCGGAUGCAAAAGCAACUCACAGAUUGCUUCCCACAGAUCCUAUGAGAUGUCAAUAAAAAUAAUAGUCAGAAAACAAAUAUGAAUUUAUCCAAAGAACAGGACAAGUUAUUGGCAAUCUGGAAAUGGGAGUGUGGUAGCUGUGGAGCGUACUUUCCCCAGUACAACAAUAACAUACCUAGUGAAAUCCCACUAAGUGGGGUCAGGGGAGGGUAGAAUGUACGCAGUCCUUACCACUACCUCGUGGAGGUAUAGAGGCUGUCUCCGAAAAACCCUCGGCUCAAGUGCAUCAAACCAAAGUAAAAGUAUCCUCUUCAAACUUUAAGCCCAGUAUACUAUUCAAACUCUAAGCACUUGAUUUUCAAAUACUUCUUAACUUUACACCUAGUCUGUAGUUGCAACUAUCUUUUGGCAUGCUGCCUAAGUUUGAGGACUAAAGCAAUUUCACCUAAGUGGUUGUAGCCACACCAAAAAGUAAUUCAUUUCUUAAAUCUAUCACAAAGCAAAAUGAGGUCCAGCGGUUUUCACAUAAGUCCCCUCGUACAUAUGCUAAGUAGGACAUAUUAUGGAUGACUUGGUUUUAGCCCUAUAUUUUAAGACCAUAGCUAAAAUAAUGAAAUACANNNNNNNNNNNNNNNNNNNNNNNNNNNNNNNNNNNNNNNNNNNNNNNNNNNNNNNNNNNNNNNNNNNNNNNNNNNNNNNNNNNNNNNNNNNNNNNNNNNNUAUCAUAAUCAAGAUCUCCCAACUCUACAGUAGACGUGGCAUUCAAUUCACGAAGAAGAUUUGCCUGUAUGAAAUUAAGAAGUGUUACACGUCAACAAACACCUAAAGCAACAAGUUCAAAAGAAAACUAGAUGGUCUAGUAAUACCGUAGGAUGUACAGAAGAAUCAUUCCCUGCGACAGCAUCAAGAACAUCACAAAUAGAAGUACGGACAUCCAAGCCAGCAGAAAUUACGAGUGGAGAAACAGAUUUGACGGUCUUUUUACUGCUUUCACUACCCAAUGGUUCUACAAUAUCCUUAAUAAUCUGUAAAGUGCCUACACAAAUCUCUGCAACCAGAAAGAAAGGUAAUCUUAGAAAAAGAGCAAGGACAUGAGACCAAACAGGUCCACCAAAACUGUAAGACAAAACUCAGAGACUCUGACCAGGGUCUUUGGAUCUCUUUGACAGAAGCGGAAGCAAGAUGUCAAGAAACUUCCUUGCAGCCAAUGGUCCCUUUAUGUGCUUCGAUAAAAGCUUGAAGACAUUGAGCUCUUUUUCCCCAGGAUAUUUGACAAUCUUCCUGGAAAAGUGAAUACAUCAGUUAAGAGGAGAACUGAUGCUAGUGCAUCUCAUAUAACACUUAAUUACAUAAAGAGCAUGCUAAGUCCACUUAGCCAUAUAGGGUGGAUGACACAUACACAAGAAAAUAAGUAAGAAACCUACUUAUUCUCCGGAGAAGCAUUUUCCAAAAAGACAUUUUAGAGGCAUUGUUAUCAUUUGGUAGAUCCAGGUCCAUGACCUAUUUCGAUGGAACACAUUUUCCAUGGUACAUAACACAUUCUCAGAAUUUCGCUCAUUGAUAUCCAUUGAUACGGACCUCACUUGUGGGAUUUCACGGGAUGUGUUGUUGCUUGAGUUGAUAUGCCCUGCUGAAAGUCUUUGUGGGUAGGAGGGAGUAUAAGAAUGAUCCACAACUCCCGGCAAAGUUGUAACAUUACCAUGUUGAUCUAAAUGUAAUAGAUGUACUCCUAUCUUCUUUACUAUGGCUCCGCCACUGCUAUCCUCUACUCUUAUCUGUUCCCCGCCUUUGAUGUUCAGGCCUUUAAAAGGUCUAUCAUUUGCGUAAGGUAAGUAAUAUACACAUGAUACUUCUCCGUGACCAUCAGGUAUAUCAAAAGGCAAAAUCCAUGAAAAACUCUUUUUAUGGGAAACAGUAACAACAAGGUGUUCAAGCUCAUGUACAUCGCAAAGGCGGCAAACAAACCAGAGAACCAUUCCUAAGAACUUGUUAUUAUGUACUGUGGGCAUAGUCAAACAGAUAGAUGGAGCUGUUACUUUAUUGCUGCACCAAUCUGGAAUCUCAUUGCUUUCGAGAUUAAUUUGUAACAACGACUUCAUCAGACAAAUUAAGACACAAUUAGAUCAUUAAUUAUUAAUGUGAUACGAGAGAGAGAUCAGAGAGGGAGAAGGACUAACCUCAUACCAUUGAUAUUUUCUACACGAAAUUGAUAGAGCAGGGGCACUAAAGAAGCCUUCACUGAAUGGAUUCUGCAGACAAGUACAAUUAUUCAUGUCCAUCUUCUUUAUUGAAGGGAGGUUGUCCAACCCUGUAAUCUUGACCAGUUUUUGGCAAUUCCUAAGUUCAACAACUCUAAGGUACUCUAAAUUUGAUAUUGAUGGGAGUGUUUGAAGGUUCUCACAAUCAUUCAAAUACAAGGACUUCAACCAUGGUAACUUGGAAAAAUCAAAGGGUAGAUAGAGGAAACUGUUGCCGCUCAAAUCUAAAUGAUAUAAGUUGGAUAAACUCCCAAUAUCCCUAGGAACAUCAGCCUCCGAGAAACCACAAUAUGGAAGGCAUAGAAUCGAAAUAAAUUUUGACAAGGAUACUAUGGGGCGUACUCUUGUUUGAGAAAACCUCCUUUUGGUCUCUAAGUAUUGACCUCCCAUUUCCAAUUCUAUAAGAUUUCCUAGCAUUUCAACAGAUCCAGGCAAUUCUUUUAUACCUGUUUCACCUGCAUUAAGAAAUCUUAGGCUUUGCAUAUCUCCAAUGUCAACUGGCAGUGUUUGUAAAGAUGAGCAGUCAUUAAUGCUCAAGUAUUCAAGGGAUUUUAGCUGGCAUAUGCUGCUCGGAAGAUCCGUAAUCUUUUCGCAACCAUUCAAUUGAAGAUCAGUUAGUCUGUCCAAAUUUCCUAUUGAUGGAUGGAUCUCCUUAAGACUUGAGCAAUUGUCAAGCCACAAAGUCUCGAGACUUCUUGAACCACAGAAGUUUGGAGUUCUUCUGAGGUGCUUGCAAUCAGAGAGAUCCAGCAUUUUCAAAUUUCUACAAUACUAAAAGUAAACAAAAUAUUGUUUUAAUUAAGAUUUUCUUUAUCUUAAACAUAACACAUAAAAUUGCAGAAUUGAGUAACGAACCUGCAAAUUCAAACCAAAUUCUUGGAUAUUGCUCCCUUUCAUAUUCAGAACUACAAGCUUCUCAGAUGGAAAAUUUGACGGUAUACAUUUUAAAGGACAUUCUUUCCAAGACAACCAUCUGAGCUCCUUGGACAAUAGCUCAAAAUCUCCACUAAUAUGUAAGUCGUCGAUUUUAAGCACCCUAAGAUUUAUCAUUUUCUGAAAUGCUUUGGUGUUCAGCUUCACACCCUUUAAUGCCUGUCGUUCUACCACCAAUAUUUCUACAUUUUCAGAACCCUACAGUUUGGUAAAAAGAAAAGUACUAUAAGACCAUGUUAUGUAUGAUAAAUUAAGAAAGAGAAAUGCUUUAUACAAAUUGAAGGUCAAACAAAGAAAAUAAAUUAUGUACCAAUAAAAAUAAACUUACACAUUAUAUCCAACUAAAGGAUAUUUAUUUGAUAAUUUUGUCUUUGAUAGCUUGUUUAGACUUCAGUAAAUGUUCAUUUCAAGUACAGAAUGGUUCAAACAUCUAAAGAUACUUACUAACCGGAGAAGAUUUAAGCACAAAUGCAUAAAUUAUAAGCAAGUGUAUAUCAAUAUGAAAAAAGAAGAAGAAGAAGUAUAACCGAGAUAAAGAUAAUGAAAUUUACUGACUUUAUUUCCUUGUAGGACAUCAAGGACUUCUUGAGGGUUGACCAAUCUACUCCGUUUUCCAAAGUCUCGAGGUGAUUCCAUGCGAACGAUUUCUCUUCCCAUAUCCCGCACUAGAUCAUGCAUCACCAAACGACGCCGAUCCCUUUGGAGCAGGUGUCUUUUGACUAGAGUUGCAAUUGCAGUUUCACAAUAAAAACCACAGGGGUUUAAUGUUUUGGUAACUUCAUCCUCAUCACAUCCAUGGAAAGCGCACGCAAUAUCAAGGAAAACACUCUGAGUAUUGUCAUCAAGUCCAUCAAAGCUUAUUUGGAGAAUCUUUUGAAUAUCAAAAUGAGGAAUUGUUCUUAGUUUUUUGAACUCGUAUCUCCAUUCUUCAACGGAUCUCCCUUGCAGAUGUGACCCCAAUGUCACAAGAGCUAAUGGUAGCCCACCUGAAUAUUUUAUUAUGUCUUGUGCCAGCUCAACAUAUUCUUGUGGUGGAGAAAAACAGUUAAAAGCAUGACAAGAAAAGAGUUGCGGGGCUUCAUUGUCAUUUAAAAGUUUGGCCCGGUAUAUCUCACUUGUUGUAAGCCCAUAUAGCAAAUGUUCAUCUCGAGUUGUAAUAAUUAUUACACUACCAGAGCCAAACCAACUUCUUUCUCUUGUUAAGGAUUCUAAUUGGCUUCUAUGAUCCACGUCAUCAAGAAUAAUUAGAACCUUCUUUGACCCAAGUCUUGCUUUGAUUAGACUAACACCUUCAGCAACACUAUCAACUUCAAAUUCCUUAGUUUUGAGGAUUUGAUGAAGUAGUUUCUCUUGUAGCUUGACUAGAACAUAUUCUUCAACUUUUGAUCUUAUGUCUGAAAGGAAGCAACUACCGUCAAACUGUUGAAAUAUUCGAUUGUAGAUAGCUUUUGCCAAAGUUGUUUUCCCAAUUCCACCAACGCCACAUAUACCAACCAUGCGAACUUCAUGCUCACAUCCACUUUGCAGUAACACCUCUAUAUGUUUGAUAGGAGAAUCUAAUCCAAUUGGGUAAUGAGCAACAUCUAGAGGUGUUGGGUUAACCUCUUGCAGAACUUGUUUUAUAAUACUUUCAAUAAACUUUGAUUCAUGCCUACAGUUUUUGCAACAAUAAAUACUCAAGUAUUUUAAAUUAUUUGAUGAACAAAAUGAAAAUCAAUAGCCAAAAGAUAACAGAGUUUAUAGAAUGGAGAUUAUCCCUUGUCCCAAUCUACGGUUUGAUUUGACACGAAAUUUAAGAAAUAUAAAAAGACUUUACAAUGUUCCAAAAUUAACCAAGUUUUAAGCUUAGGCAAAUGCUUAAAUUCAAAAUUUAAUAGUUGAAUUAAGAAGUCUUACCCAUCAGCAACAUUUCUUAAAUCCCAUCCAGAUAAAUUUGCUGCUUCAGUAAGUGCAGCUUUCCACUUUUCCAUUCUUUCAGCUCCAACCAAUCGUUCCUUGUGUUUUGCCAAAGCUUCGUCAAAGGACGAAGUUUGCCUUCGCACUUGAGAAGGAUCAACAUCAUAGAAAAUAGGCAAAACUACCUGCUUUAACCUCUGUUUGCAAUCGAGAAUUUUGACAAGUUCAUCAAGACACCAACUAGACGAAGCAUAAUUUUUGGAGAAAACAACAAUGGCAACCCUAGAUUGUUCAAUUGCUUUCUUAAGUUCAAUUGAAAUUUCGUCUCCUUUUCUCAAUUCCUCAUCAUCUAUGAAAGUAUUAACUCCGACUUGAUACAAUCUGAAAUAAAGAUGACCUGUGAAGUUUUUGCGAGUAUCUUCACCUCUGAAACUGAGAAACACAUCAUAACAUAAGUUGGAAGAAGAAGAUGAUUCUCCUUGAGUAUUCAUAUUUGAUGACAAUAAAUUAAAGAGAUUUUUAGUCAAUUUUUUUGUUUAAUUAAUUAAAUAGAGAUGUGAAGCAGCUCUUUAUAUGCCCACAAGUAAUUGUUUGUUCCUGGAAAUUUAAUUUUGGGUCAACUCAUUUACAGGCCCCAAAGAAGGUUAACAGAAAUGUAAGGGAAGUUUCCAAGAUAUUUCAUAGACAUGUUGCGUUCAAUUUUAUAUGUUAUAAUAUUAAAAAUAGAUAUACAAUUUACUUCCACUUCUUCCGUAGAUUUUUACUUGUUCACAUUAUAAACUAUAGUGAUCAUUUUUAUUUGUACAAUUUAAAAAUAAUCAAAAAUAAGAACUUUUAAUUUAUUUAUUUUAAAAUGUGUCAUACUUCCAAUAAUUCACUUAUGAACCAGUGAGAGUAGAUAAUGAGUGACUUGCUUUCACAUUUAUUGUCAGCACAACUCUAUCAGUCUUCUUUUUUUUUCAUCACUUUCACACUAUCGACAAGUGGAUUGACAUUACCAUGUUGGUCUAAAUAUAGCAGAUGGAUCCCUAUCUUUUUUAUUGCAUCUUUGCGAAAGAACAAAUAGUCAGACUCGUGAACUGUUACCUUUGAUCAUCUGGUCAACAAAAGGACUAGUUAAGCAAGAUAUGUAAUAUACACAUGAUACUUCUCUGUAUUGUCCGAUCGAGUAUAUCAAUAUCACAAAUUCUUGACAUAGAUACUCUCUCUCUAUCGGAUACAGCAAUACUGAAGCGUCCAAAAGUGGAUGAAAGUCUCUUAAAGUCGCAAAAAAAAACAGAGAAUCAUUCCUAAGAACUUGUACCCCUUAUCAUGUACUGUGGGCAUAGUGAAACAGAUAGAUGGAGAUGUUACUUUAUUGCUGCACCAAUCUGGAAUAUCAUUGCAUUCGACACAAAUUCGUAAAACUUGCUUCUUCAGAGUGUGAAAUGACAGAGCCUGGGCACCUUGAUUGAACGAUCUCCUUCAUCCUUGAGCAACCUUGAAGCUUCAAAGUCUCGAGACUUGUUGCACCGUUGAAGUUUGGAGUUUUUUUGAGGGCCGAGCACCAAGAGAUAUUCAGCUCCUUCAACCUUGGGCAACACUAAAUGUCAACCAAGUACAUUAAUAUUCAAGUUAUACAAGACUAUUUUGUAUAAUUUCACUAGUCAAUGAAAAAUGUAGAAUUGGGCAACAAAUUAAACCUGCAAAUUCAAGCCAAAUUUUUCGAUAGCACUCCCUUCCAUAUUAAGAACUACAAGAUUCGCAGCUGGAAAAUUUGGUGGAAUAUAUUUUAAAUGACAUCUUUGCCAAGAUAACCAUUUGAGCUCCUUGGGAAAAUGCCACAAAUCUCCAUGAAUACGUAAUCCAUUGAUUAUAAGCACCCUGAGUUUCUUCAUUUUCUUAAAUGCAUCGGUGCUAAACUCCACUCCCUCUAAUUCCCCUGGUUCAUCUAACCUCAUUACUUGUACAUUUCCGAAACUCUGUAGUUCAGAGAAAAUGUUUUAAUUAGGACUAAGAAUUGUAACACGACAUACAAUUAAAUUAAAAAGGAACAAGGAUUUACUCACGUUUUUUCCUCGUAAAACAGCACAGACUUGUUGAGGUAUGAAUAAUCUACUCCGUUCUACAAGGCAUUGAGAUUCUGAGCGAACAAUUUCUCUUCCCAUAUCUCGCACUAGAUCAUGCAUACUUACACAACCCCCAAGUACCCCUUGGAGCAACUGUUUUUGGACUAAAGUUGCAAUUUCACAUUUAGUGUGAAAACCACAUGCAUUUAGUAUUUCAGUUUUCUUGAGAGUCUUUUGGAUAUCAUCAUGAGGAAUUUCUUUUAGUCUCUUGAAUUUGCGUCUCCAGUUUUCUAUGGAUUCCCCUCGAAAAUGUGAACCCAAUGUCACAAGUGCUAAUGGUAGCCCACCUGAAUAUUUGAUUAUGUCUUUCGUCACCCCAACAUAGUCUUUAGGUGGAGAAAGACUGUCAAAAGCAUGACGAUAAAAAAGUUGCUGAGAUUCAUUGUCAUUUAAUUGGUUGAUCAUACAUCUUUUUGCAUUAAGCCAACUUAGCUAAAGCUCGUCUCGGAUUGUAAUAACUAUUAUACUACCCAAACCAAACCAUUUCUUUUCUUUUGUUAACGAUUCUAAUUGUUUUUUUGUGUCCACUUCAUCAAGAACAAUUAGAACCUUCUUUGACCCCAGUUUUCUUUUGAUUAGAUUGAUUCCUUCAGCAACACUGCGAACUUUGUACUCGUUGGUUUUGAACAGUAUAUUGAGAAGUUUCUCUUGUACACUUUCUAGACCAAUCUUUUUUUCUAGCAAUCUAACAUCAGAAAGGAAGCAACUACCAUCGAAGAUAAAUAAUCGAUUGUAGAUAUUUUUGGCCAGAGUUGUUUUCCCGAUUCCACCAACUCCAUAUAUACCAACCAAGUGAACUUCAUCUACGUGUCCAUUUUGCAAUAACGACUUUAUAGGUUUAGUACGAGAAUCAACUCCAAUUGGGUAAGAAGCAACAUGUAGAGGUGUAUGGUUGACCUCUUUCUUCAUAUCUUGUAUAAUCAUUUCAAUAAAUUCAGCUUCAUGCCUACCAAUAUUUUUACCAAAAAACACUCACAUGAUGGGAGGUGUUACGCUUUAAAAUAGUUGCCUAUCUAUGGAUGGCAAUGGGGCGGUGCGGGACGGGGCGCGUUGAGCUUAAUCUAUAAAAAAUUUAAUUCGCUCUGCAUAACAAUUUUUUUCAUUUUCAACCUGCCCCGCAUGAAACUCCCCACAUAGUUUUUUUAAUAUUUUUCUUUUCUAGUUAAGUUUGACACUAAAAAUAAAAUUCAUAAAAAUAAAUUCAUUUUUUCAUUAAGUUGUAUUAAUUUAAUAGAAAAUGACCUAAAUUUUAUUUUUUAGAAGUCAAUUGGUAAACAUGUAAGAAAUUGUAUUAAUUUUUAUUGAAUCAUUUUCAUUUACCAUCUUGAAUAUUUUAGUAGCUUUAGAGAAAUUAUCUUAAUAAAUAAUGUUCUAUCACUCUUAUAGCAUGUAAAAAGUUAAAAUUAAAUUGAAUCCACAUAAUGCCACAUAUUCCGGCAACCCCGUCCCACAUAGCCUUAAAUCCACUCCAUCCCGCAUCCGCCCCGUUUCAUUGUUAUCUAUGGCUAUCAAACGACCCAAAAUUGUUAACAGAAAUAAAAAGGAAGUUUCCUAAGAGGUACUUUCUCUUUUGGGUAAUAACCAUAGUUAAUAGUAUAAUUAAAAACAUUACAUUUCAUCCUUGUAGGAAAUUACUUAUGGGGUUCUUGAUAGGCAAUCUUACUGUGGAGGAAAGUUGAUAGAAAUUGAAUGGAAACAUUCAAAUUCUUUUUCUUUUUAAUUGAAUGGUUUUCACAUUCUAAAUUUUCUCUACCCACCAAAGGUCAAUUCUAAUAGUGGUUGCAUCUUGAAUUGGACCCUUUUUAUUUUUAAACAAAUUUCUUAGUACACAAAACAAAUAUAUUGCUUACUUUAAAAGCAAGGUAUCAUAAAUUCACGUCGAAACAUUGUACUUGCCCUUUAAAAUUUUACAACUUAUGAUUUUCAUCUUUUUUUAAAAAAAAUAAUGCAAGAAAUAUGUCAUGAUGUUCCACUAUGCCUUUAUAAAUCUCCAUUUAUCUUUGUUUUGUUUGUUUAAUCGAAAUUUAAUCUUCUUACUGUUACGAUUACCAGAUUUUACACACUACUUGCCUAUUCUUUCUUCUUCUAACCUUUUCUUUUCCUUUUUGAAUAUUUUCUUUUAAUAUUAGUAUUUCUUUUGAAUGGUCUAACCAGUAGUUGAACUUAGAAGCUUUCUUUGGUUAUGAAACCAAAUUAAUAUUAUUUACCUUAUUUAGAGGUAUUGCCACUAUAAGUAAUACAACGAUUAACUAUUUUAUGCAAAACUUUCGUAAAUGUGCUUUUACAUAAAUUUCCAUUCAGUGUGACACACACGAAGUAAAACCACAUGUUUCUUCUUUUUGCAUUCCAAAAAAAAGGAAGAAUAUUCUUCUCCAUUACUAAAAAUCAAUAAAUUACACAGUUCAAUCACUUACAAUGUUCCCUGGCAUUGCAUGUUAAUCAAAGAGACACUAUAUUCACUAUACAAUGAAAAAGUUGAUUCAAUUUUUUAAACUAAGCUUAGUGCAACUCAACAUACUACCACUAUACAAUGGAAAAUUUGGUUACAUAAAUUAAACAAAAUUUUCUAUAGAAGCUACUGCCUAUAUCGAACAACAAAAUUUUCUAUAGAAGCUACUGCCAUCGAAGAUCGAUGCUCAAUUGUUCAUACCUAAUAAUGGCUUUGUAGCCCUAUAAUAGUACACAUUCUACUACAUCCAUCUUCCCAUCUUCAUUGACAUCAUUUUCCUCUUCUUGUGUGCUUUAUGCUUUUCUGCAAUCCUCAGCUUCCUCUUGGCAUUUCUCAUUGGAUUAACCACAGCAAUGACCUUCUCUUCUUGUUUCCUCUUAUCCCUCUUCGAUUUGAUAUUCUUCCUUAUAUGACUGUAAAUUUGGACAAAAAUAUGUGUUCCUAUAACAUUGCUUAUGCUCCCUCGCACUCCUUCAGCCAGUUGUUUCACGUCGUCUGUGGAGAUGAUGCAAACGUAAUCAUCAAAUAUAUUAAGGACUACAAAGUUUAAUCACUCGGAAGCCAAAGAGGAAGUGAAGAACAUUUGUAAAUGCAGCUAGCACUUUGCAUAUAUGAUAGUAUGGACAGACACUUGAAACAAUAAGUUUGCAAGAGAUUGAAUGAGAGACCAUACCUGAUAUAACUUUUCCGGCAAAUCCUUCACAAACUUUGUACAGGGGCAACAGCAUAUGAUAUGCAAAGCUUUGGCAAUCAACCUCACCUUCAGGGGACAACAAUCUACUCUGAUCUAUAAGCUUUGGUGAAACUGAUUUGAAACAAUUGAAGAUAAUUCUCAUCUGCAAAAAAUUGUGCACAUUCCACAGCAUGAGAACAGGCACUCCUAGCACUAUAUAUGGGAGACUAAGGCCCAAAAUAUUUUUUUUGGAAAAACAACGAGAAGGUAAAUUACAUAGCAAUGACUAGGCUAAGAAAUUUUUUGCGAGUCGAGCAAACAGAGAUAUCCUUAAUUAAUCACCCACCUGCAUAUCCUCCACAUGAAGGGAAAUCUUUCCCAUUGUCUUAAGCAAAUAAGAAAUGACCAAGUAGCGCUGGCCUUCAUCUUCUUGAUCGCUAAGGUCAGACACAAGAGACAGAUAGAUGUUUUUCCCUUUCCUUGAAUCAAGCUGUUGAAAAGCCUUAAGCAGAAGACCCUGCUCGUCAUGUUCAAUGGUGGACCAGAACUCAUCUUUACAUUCAUUUUUUCCUAAGAAUGAAUGCAGAGAGCAAAUUGAAAAGACAAGAUUUUGAGUAAUGAGAUCACUGGCAGCAUCAUCAGUCUGCAGCACCUUCAGCUGACAACAAAGAGAAGUAGCUACGAAGAAAAGUCUACUUGGCCUCAUCAAAAAGUAAGUUUCUUGUGGCAGUUCAAGGUUUUCUUUCCAAGCCUCAGUCACAGUGGCAAAGUAGCAAGCCACAAGACGGUUUGAUAUGUUGCGCAACCACAGAUGCGGAUGCAAAAGCAACUCACAGAUUGCUUCCCACAGAUCCUAUGAGAUGUCAAUAAAAAUAAUAGUCAGAAAACAAAUAUGAAUUUAUCCAAAGAACAGGACAAGUUAUUGGCAAUCUGGAAAUGGGAGUGUGGUAGCUGUGGAGCGUACUUUCCCCAGUACAACAAUAACAUACCUAGUGAAAUCCCACUAAGUGGGGUCAGGGAAGGGUAGAGUGUACGCAAUCCUUACCACUACCUCGUGGAGGUAGAGAGGUUGUUUCCCUAGUCUCAAGUGCAUCAAACCAAAGUAAAAGUAUCCUCUUCAAACUUUAAGCCCAGUAUACUAUUCAAACUCUAAGCACUUGAAUUUCAAAUACUUCUUAACUUUACACCUAGUCUGUAGUUGCAAACUAUCUUUUGGCAUGCUGCCUAAGUUUGAGGACCAAAGCAAUUUCACCGAAGUGGUUUUAGCCACACCAAAAAGUAAUUCAUUUCAUAAAUCUAUCACAAAGCAAAAUGAGGUCCAGUGGUUUUCACACAAGUCCCCUCGUACAUAUGCUAAGUUGGACAUAUUAUGGAUGACUUGGUUUUAGCUCUCCUAUAUUUUAAGACCAUAGCUAAAACAAUGAAAUACAGCAGCACUAGCACUAAUGAAAUAAAGGAUAGAGAGAGAAAAUAUAGUAAUUUUUUUCUUUCUACAGAGACUAAUAUCCAUUCUAUAGAGGAUAGAUAUAGAAGAUAUUUUAUCUUUUUAAAUUCUACAAAAACAAACAUCCAAUAUGUGCUAUAGAGUAUCAAAACAAUGUCUCAAAGGCAAUUCAACCAGUUAUGAAUAUCCAUUAGCUCCAUUUUAUCCCAAUAGAAUAAGUCUGGAUGGCAGGCAAAUCUUAUAAAUGUUCAUAUGUUGUUGUUGUUGUCUUAUUUACAGAAGUAAUCAGUUAGUACCUAGUAGUAGUCACUUUAAUUUCUAACAUAGGAUUAAAAGAAAGGAAUAAAUACCUCAAGAUCCUUUCUGAAGCACAACUUAGGAAAUUGAUUUAAUAUCUUCUCAAACAGAACCAGUGAAUAAUAUGCUUCUUUCCAAGAUGAAAUCGUUGCAUCAUUCGGUAGAUCCACUUGCUUAUUUGUAAGAACAUUAACAGCAGAUUGCAAGAUGUUUCUCAUAACAGGUAGGAGGCUAUCAAUAUACUUUUGGAAACCAUCUUUAAGUCCUUCAAUGAGUAACCCCAAAACCUGUAAAAGAAAUAAUGAAGUCUUGAAACAUGUUUUUCUAUUUUUUGAUGAGGAAGGAGUUAUAUCUCAGAUUCAUGACAAAAUAAUGACGUCAGUUUUUGUCCAUUCUUCCGGCUAUUUAAUUCAUAGUUCAUAUACAUAAACGAAUAUGAAAAAAGUGAAUGACAUAUGGAACUUGUAAUCCUUCUUCGGUAUUUCCAAACUUGCUCCACGAUGGCAUAAUGUAGUUGAAUAAAAGAACAGUUUGGGGUUUUCACUCGUUUACCUGUGCUGCAGCACUCCAUAAAUGUGGUUUAUCUCCCAGAUACCAGGACCGACUAAACUCAAGAAUUGACUGGAGUGAACGGGGGCUGACUCGUCCAACAAGUAACUUUAUGACUGUACCAGUCAUUGAACGGACUCUGUUGUCACGAUCAUUCGCCAGACAAACCACCAAAUGCAGAAAAAACGUCUGAGAUUGUUCAUCUAUGAUGCUAACUGGGAAUUUCAUUAUAACAGCAUGAAGCAUUUCAAGGAUAGCUUCUCUUCCAGUUGAAUGCUCAUAUCUGAAAAAUUCAAAAACAUCAUUACAGAGAUGUCACCAUCUAUAAAUUUUACCAAAUGAAAUUAUUGAUUGUGCCCUUAUGUCCUUGCCUUAAGUUUGAAAGUAAGAAAUCAAGAUGUUGUUGAAGACGUUUCUCAGAUAUAUGGUAGUCCAGUAAAAACUGCAGCAAAAUUUGGCUGCUUUUCUUACGAAUUGAUUCAACUUGACUAGUCACCAUCAACACUGCAAGAUUUCUGCAACUACCAACUUCCUACUCACUAUUGCUUUCAACAGUGAGAGAGCCACAAAAGAGGGAUUUCUUUCAAGAUCAACAAAAAGAGGAAACUGGAUUAGCAUAUGCAGUUGAUCAGUAGAAAGUGUGAUCUUAGUGCUACGCAAAAGCACAGUUAGCAACUUAACGCAAGACUCCAAUAAUGGAUUACUGGAAGUUACUGAACCUUGAGCAAUAUUCAGUAAUGAAUUCUUUAUCUUCUCUGCCUGAGAUUCAAGAGAUGGCAAAGGGAGCCUCACCAGAGGAGAUAAGCACCUAAGUGAGGCAGACAUGACAUUCUCAUAUUUUGAGUUUAAGCAUUCACCCAAUAAUCUUACAAAUGGAUCUAGCAUUGACAACAACUGCUCAUCUUUCUUGUCAAAUUUCAUGUUCUUCAUGUAAUUCUGAAGCACUCCAAGAGCAAAUUCAGUAAUAAGAUGGGAAUAUCGUGGAUCAACGCUGACCAACUUAUCUGAUUUAGCAAUCUGGCUGCUUACUCCAUCUUUCUUUUGCUUACCUUCCAUUAAAGUCGAUGUCUCUGCAUGCCCUGGAGAUUCAUCUUUUAUGCCAUCUUUGAUCAGACCAUAUUCAUAGAUAAAGAGUUCUGUCUGGUUAACGGAAGGAUUACACUGUAUUCCAGCAGCUAUAUGAGAGAACAUAUUCUCAAAUUUUGAUUUUACUUUUGGAGUCAGCUGCUUCUGUAGAUGCUUAAGAAUUGGCGCAAGCAGCUUCAGAGCAUGUGUUUUGAAUGUGAUGCUUUGGGCAAUCAAUUUAAGGGUAUCAUAUGACUUCUGCUUCCUAGUCUCUUCCAUCUUUGAAGCAAUCUUCUCAACCUCUUUCUCCUCUGAAAUAUCACUAAGUAUAUCAUUUAUUGCAAUCGAGAGAAGAUCCUCUAAACAAAAAUCCAGCUUCCCACUACUGGGAUUUAGAAGAAAUUUUGAUAGUAGAAAAUUGAGAGUGAAUCCCAAAACAUGCAAUUCAAAUCCUCUCUUCAGAGUGCCUCUCAAGACUUUGACAACAAAUUGCAAGUACUCCAGCCCUAGUUCUUUUAAACAAGCAGCCAAAGCAGCUCUGGCUUCAUCACGAACACUUUCCAAACGAUUCUUAAGGAAAUUCGCUAUGCGAUGCAUCAUAGAUGGAAGGUGCGAUUCCAUGAUGUCUCCCGAAAUUCCGCAAUAACACCUUUUGUUUAUCUGGUUUCAGUGUCAUCUCCCGAAAGCAUCUAUUGAGUAAUGCAUAAUACAAUCUCCAGUCCAUGAAUUUAGAAAUUGAUCCAACAGCUUCCAAACAUGCACUUCUAAUAUUUUCACCCUUUCCAACUUGUCCAUCAACCAACAUUUUAAAGAGAAGAGGGAUAAACACUUUAUUUAUGAGAACCUGCACCAGAAUUAUUCCCAACUAUUAGUACAGCUUAGCAACACAGAGCACAAAUUGAUGCUUAAAGAAAAAGGCAAGUAACCACCUUAGACAGAUUCCCGGAAUAUGUAACUCAUCGAUUUUAAGCACCCUCAAAUUUUUCAUUUUCUUAAAUGUCUUGGUGCUCAGGUUCGCGCCUUUUAAUUCCCCUGGAUCUACCACCAGUACUUCUACUUUUUCGGAACCCUGUAGUUUCAGCACAUAUUAAUUGAACAAAAGCAAUUAUAAGCAAAUAUUUAUCAAAUUAUUGAAAAAAAUUAAAAUCACGAAAGAUAAAGAAUCUACUGACUAUAUUUCCUUGUGGAACAUCUCGGACUUCUUGAGGUUUGAACAAUCUACUCUGUUUUCCAGAGUCUCAAGGUGAUUCCAUACGAACAAUUUCUCUUCCCAUAUCUCGCACUAGAUCAUGCAUCAUCAAAUAACGCCAAUCCCUUUAGAGCAAGUUCCUUUGGACUAAGGUUGAAAUUGCACUUUCAGAAUAAAAACCACACGCAUUUAAUGUUUUGAUAACUUCAUCCUCAAAAAAUCCAUGGAAGGCACACACGAUAUCAAGGAAAACACUUUGAGUAUCAC
rnacentral:lncRNA from 1 species